AUUCCUAUGCUAAGUACAUAUGAUGAUUACAAUUUUUAUUAAUUUUAAAUCAUGCAGUAUGUACAUAUAUAUCUUAAUUAGAGUUUUUACCAAUAUAAUAAUAUCAUUCAUAUAUAUGCUAAGUAUAUAUGAUUAUUGGAAUUUUUAUUAAUUAUAUUUGCUUAUUACGAUUUAUCCACUUAAUUUAUUACAGACAAAAAUAAUUUUUCGAAGUAAUUGUCAUUAAUCUUUGUACUUUAAAUAAUGUUAAUGAAUUAACUUCUAUUUUAUAAACACAUAUGUAAGCGAAAAUCAUAUGCAGUGCUAUAAUCUUUAGUCCCGGUUCUUAACCCUAACCGGGUUUAAAAAGAAUUUCGAAAUAGCGGGAAAAGAUAUUUACUCCCGGUUGUUGAGAACAACCGGGAGUAAAGAUCCAGGGGUAUAUAUAUUCCCGGUGCGCCCUCGUCUUCUUCACCAACACUUAAACGUUUUCGGCCGAUCGAUCUCUCUCGGCCUCUCUCCUUCGCCGCCACUGCCUAGGGCAAAUCCCCGCGCCGACGCCGCCGUAUCUCGCCGUCGUCUCGAGCUCGUCGUCCUCGCCGCCGCCUCCGCCUCCUCCGCUGCCGCCGCAUCUCUGGGGUGAGAGCCGCCGCCGCCAGAUCUCCCUUCAUGCAUCUCGAUCUCUCCGAUCUCGAUCUCUCUCCGUCGCGCCGCCCGCCACGAGACGCCGCGCCACGACGACGACGCGCCACGACGACGACGCGCCACGCCGCCGCCUUCGACGCCACGCAACGCCGCCGCCGCAUGCCAACGCCACGCCGCCGCCGCUGCCGCCGUCGCCACGCCGCCGCCGCCUUCGCCGCCGCGCGCGCAAUGCCGCCGCCGCCACGCCACGCCGCCGCCGCCACGCCACGCCGCCGCCGCCACGCCACGCCGCCGCCGCCACGCCACGCCGCCGCCACGCAACGCCACGCCGCCGCCGCCGUCGCCACACCGCCGCGCCAAUCGCCGCCCCGAUGCCGCCACACCGCCGUUAACGAACGAGAACGAGAACGAUCGAACGAACGAGAGCGAGAACGAACACGUCAACGUACGUUGCCGCGACAACGUGAACAAGAACGAGAACGAUCGAACGAACGAGAGCAAGAACGAACACGUCAACGUACGUUGCCGCGAGAACGUGAACGAGAACGAGAACGAUCGAACGAAUAAGAGCGAGAACGAGAACGAUCGAACGAAGACAAGCGAGAACGAGGGAAUGAACGUGAAUGAGAACGAGCGAACGAACGAGGACGAACGUUAACGUGAAAUGCAAUAUAUAUAUAUAUAUAUAUAUAUAUAUAUAUAUAUAUAUAUAUAUAUAUAUAUAUAUAUAUGUGUGUGUUACUUCGCAUUUAUCCUAAUACAUUUUUUUUAUCUUGCAGAAAAGACGUGUUGUCGGAGUCGUCCGUCAAGCCUGAGUGGAAGAGCUAGCCCUAGAAGGAAUUGGAGCAGGCAAGUGACGUAAUAAUAUAAAUGAUUGUUAUAUUUGUAAUGCAAUUAAUUAAGAUUAUUAGACCUGUAAUUAGACUUAUCAUAUAAGAUUGUGUAGUGUUCUAAUAUUAUUUGAGUUUUAAUAUAAGAUUAUUUUAUUGCAAAUUAGACUUAGUAUGACAUUAUUGACUACGGAAUUGGUGCGACUCCUAGCAAUUGACUAUUGUAGUCUUAAUUAGACUUAGCAUAUACGCACGAAACACUUAGCAUACAUUACUAUUUUAGUCUUAGCAUGUAAUAUUAUUUGAGUUUUAAUAUAAUAUUAUUUUAUUUGUAAUUAGACUUGGUAUGUAAUUAUUGACUACAGAAUUGGUGCGACAAGUAGCAAUUGACUAUUGUAGUCUUAAUUAGACUUAGCAUAUACGCACGAAACACCUAGCAUAUACAUGACUAUUUUAGUCUUAGCAUGUAAUAUUAUUUGAGUUUUAAUAUAAGAUUAUUUUAUUUGUAAUUAGACUUAGUAUAUAAUUAUUUACUAGCUAGGGUUGUAUAAUAUACGUCACCUAGACUUAGCUUAUAUCACGAUUUGUAAUUAGACUUAGCACGUAAGGUUGUGUAGGGUUCUAAUGUACGACAUUUACACUUAGCAUACAUGACUUAGAUUGUUAAAACAUAAAUGUCUCGUGACUUAGCAUAUACGCACGAAACACUUAGCAUAUACAUGACUAUUUUAGUCUUAGCAUGUAAUAUUAUUUGAGUUUUAAUAUAAGAUUAUUUUAUUUGUAAUUAGACUUAGUAUAUAAUUAUUUACUAGCUAGGGUUGUAUAAUAUACGUCACCUAGACUUAGCUUAUAUCAUGAUUUGUAAUUAGACUUAGCACGUAAGGUUGUGUAGGGUUCUAAUGUACGACAUUUACACUUAGCAUACAUGACUUAGAUUGUUAAAACAUAAAUGUCUCGUGACUUAGCAUAUACGCACGAAACACUUAGCAUAUACAUGACUAUUUUAGUCUUAGCAUGUAAUAUUAUUUGAGUUUUAAUAUAAGAUUAUUUUAUUUGUAAUUAGACUUAGUAUAUAAUUAUUUACUAGCUAGGGUUGUAUAAUAUACGUCACCUAGACUUAGCUUAUAUCACGAUUUGUAAUUAGACUUAGCACGUAAGGUUGUGUAGGGUUCUAAUGUACGACAUUUACACUUAGCAUACAUGACUUAGAUUGUUAAAACAUAAAUGUCUCGUGACUUAGCAGAUGUUUCUUGUAUCAACAGAUGGCUGACCGCGAUGAGGAACAGAUAUUGUACGAUACAAUCGCGGAGGGAAGCAGCCAGUACUGGAAUGAAGAAGAGGGGAACGAGGAUCCAAACGAGUACUUGAACGAGGAAGGGAACGUGGAGAGGGAUGCGGAGGGGAACCAGCAGGGGCACGUGGAAAGGGAUGUGGAGGGGAACCAGGAGGAGGAGGCUAGUGGUAGUCAACCCUCCGUUGGACAGAAGAGGGCACGCGGGCAACGAGGUGUAGCGAAGAAGCUUGAGGGUCGGCACAUCAUAACGGAAGUGGAAGAAGAUGGACGUCCUAGUGCCCCAGCCGAAGCCGCCAAGAACUAUGUACGUCACAGCGGUUGGGUUGUACGGGAUAACGUGCCUGUCAGUACGGUGUACUGGCGAAGAACAAGGGCACGCGGAGAUCAUGAGAGCUUUGUCCCAGAUUCGGAGAAAGAGAUGCUGUGGACCACAAUGCUCGAGACAUUCACCCUUCCUGCGGGUACAGAGGACAAAGUGAAAAGGUGGACUCUGAAGAAAAUGGCAGAACAGUUUCAGAGCUUCAAGGGAGAUCUGUACCAGAAGUAUAUACUGAAGGGGCAGACACCGAACUUCGACACAUUCCCAAAGCUAAGGGAUCACUGGGACGAGUUCGUUGCAUAUAAGACAGGUGAACAAGGGCAGGCGAUGAUGGAAAGAAACAAAGAAAAUGCCGCCAAGAAGAAGUACCAUCACCACUUGGGGUCAAGAGGCUAUAGCGUCGCGAUGCCGAAGUGGGAGCAGAUGGAGGCUAGCUUGAUUGAGAGGGGUAUCGAACCGGCAACAGCCAAUUGGCCAGAACGAUCGAAGUUCUGGUACUAUGCUCACGGUGGAACGCUCAACCCAGCUGAUGGCUCACUGGUCUUCGGCUAUCAGAUACGAGAGGCUGCGCGACGACUAACAGAUGCAGUGGAAGCCUCCUCUCAGGGCACGUUCCGACCAGACAGAGAUAGGGACGAGCUGACACUCGCCCUGCAGACUCCAGAGCAUCCAGGACGAACUCGAGGGAAAGGGGUGAUUCCUUGGAAGAUUGGUUUCAAGGAGGACAUCCACACGUACAGGAGUCGGAUGAGGAGCAAGAGAGAUACCGAGGCGAAGAUUGCAGACCUAGAGUUCCGGGUAUCGAGCUACGAACUCAACAUGCAAGAGGAGGUGGCAAGGAAGGUUGAUGAACGCAUGGCCGCACAUCGGUCCCAUGAUCCCCAGCCGACCAUUCCUCCUGCAAUGGUGAGCCCGUCAGGAAACCGUAGCAGCUGCGCCUCAACGGGGCAGGUAGGAUCACAGAGCAUGGACGCCAUGCAAACACAGGACGAAUCGACCUGUCCCGUUGAUGACAUCACUCAGCGGACACCAUGUGAGCUGCAUAUUCCUUUCAAGAACUUAUCAAUAAAGGUAAGAUUUAGCCAUUCCGCUAGUUGCUGCUUAUAUAUGUUGAUUACUAAUAAAUAAUCUCUCACAACAUGAAGGUGGCGUCGGGCAUGGCCAUCCCAACGGACCCUUUAGGUACUUACCACUGCAGGCCGAUUCCAGCAGGAUACUCGAAGGUCGAAGUUGAGUUGGUCGAAGGCGCGUACGAGGACCUCGAGCUGGAUUACCCUGGAGGAGACGGUGAGACGCAUCUACGAGACACAUGCCAUGCCAUUAUUCUAUGGCGCAGGCGGUACAUCAUCCUCCCUGGGCGACAAGCGGCGUCUCGUGCACCAUCUCCUCCGGCUCCGCCAUCUCCUCCUCAGAAUCCUGCACCGUCUCCUCCUCAUGCUCCGCCAGCACCGUCUCCACCUCAGGUUCCAGCAUCGACUCCUCCUCAGGAUCCUGCACCGACUCCUCCUCGUGCUCCUACACCUACUCCCCCACAAGCUCCUCUUCCGGCACCUUCAAAGUCAAGGGCCCCCCCAGCUCCACCACCUGCCCACACAAGGGCAACGAAGAAGGCGAAAGUUGAUGCCGCCAAGAACAAGGACCCGGGGUACGAUUGCAUGCAAGAGGAGCUUGAUGCUUACGUUGCAUCAGAAGUCAAGAGACAAUUCAAGCCUCGAAGUCCAGAAAAGAAGAUUCCUAUAGACCCCAGUGUCAGGAACUUCUUCAGGGGUAUGUCUGCAUCUGUCAAGGAGGCCAUCAAGCUAUCGGACUAUGAGCGAACGCUGAAGAAAGCAUCUUCUGGAAAGUCCAAACCAGUCCCUCAGCUUGGAGAGCAACCAAACCAGGAGAUCGAGCCGUUGGUGACCGGUAAAGAAAUGACGAUAGAACAAUUUAUUGCUGACACCGGUCUAACUACGGAUCAAUUGCUAGGAGUCGCACCAAUCGAAAAGGCGGAAGUGAAAUACAUGUACGAACUCGGUAAACCGCUUGUCAAGCCUGAGCUGCUGCAGUCCCUACCCACACAAAUGUACAAGUUCCAUCAGCUGUACAUGGAGAUGAGCGCCACCGGUAGAGAGAUGAUCGGAGCGAGGAUCAGGGACACGGACUUCUUGCAAGGAGAUGACAUUCUCUGGAUCAAUUUCAGGGGAAUCUACGAACUAUACCAGCUGGACGCCCUCGACGUCUCUAUUAUGAGUUGCUGGAUUUUGUAAGUAUAUCGUUCAGUUAGAUUUCUUACUAUACGUCUCCUUUAAUUAAUUAGGUCCUUGUAUAUAAGUAGACCAUAGAAAAUAAUAUACUCCCUUUUAUCGUUGUAGAAUGGAGAUUCAAAGGGCCCGACGGCGGAGGGUUUUCGAUACUGGAUUCAUCGACCCUCGGAAAGUAAACGUCGCAAUGCUCGACCAAUAUCCACAAGAAACAGAGGACAAUCUCGUCCAUCUCCUGAAGGCGCAGCAUUACAAGACGUUCAUACUGUUGCCAUACAACACAGAGUUAGUUUAAUUUUACUGUCUUCCUACAUACCAAAUUUCAUUCCCGUACGAACUUGCUAAGUGUUUCAUAUGUAAUGCAUCCCACGCACAUUGCAGAUUCCACUGGGUGCUUUUACUCAUCGACCUGGAGGCCUGCACCGUCAACGUAUAUGACUCAAUGGAUAAAAAAGAGUCUACGUUUGACAAGGUUUUCGAACUUAUAGACAGGUACCGUCAUAAGUUCCUUUGUUAAUUAAGAAAAUCUUGUUAUGUUAAUUGCUACUACGAAUCAUAGCUUUAAACUCCAUGUAGGGCUUGGUAUCGGUUCCGUCAUUUGGUCCGCGGCAAAUGGAGAGAAAGACUUAGGCGGAAGUUCAAAUUUCCUGUGAAUACACAUGCUCUACAUUUAUAUUUCUCCGAUUCAAAUACAUACAAGUGUAUAUUAAUUAGAUCUCUCGUUGUUUGUCAUUUAUUUGUAGUGCGCAAAGCAAAAGCAGGGAACUAACUUGUGCGGCUAUUACGUGUGCGAGUAUUGCCACUGCCUUGCAGACCAAAUCAUCACCACAAGAGAGCUCGAUGUACGUACAAAUAAAUUCAAAAUUUCAUUACGUAGCGAUUUCUUGUUUAAUUACUAAUCAAUUUCAUACAUUCAUAUAGUUUAUUCGCAUGAGGGAUAACCUGACCACACACAAGGAAUUUAUCGCGGCGGUUCAAGAACAACUCAUGGGAUUCAUCAACGAAGAAAUCCUUGAUCCCAAGGGUGAAUUCUACUACGACGGAAACACAAUUCACCGGUCCUUAGCUUCUGAGCUAGCAGCGAGUACUACUACGUCGAAAUCGUAGCUAGCUAGGACAUAUAAUGGAUUGUAAUUAAUACAUGACUACAUAUGUUUCUAUAUGCAUGUAUACACAUUUUCUAUAAUGUAAAUAUAUUUUGUUCAUAUAUAUAUCUAUAUACAUAUGCAUUUGCAUAACAUAUAUAUGUAUAAAUACAUAUAUAUUAUGCAUGUAUAUACAUAUAAUAUAAUAUAAUAUAUAUAUAUACAUAUAUAUAUGUAUGCAUAUAUCUGUAUUGAAACAUAUAUAUGCAUGGUUUAUAUAUAUAUAUAUAUAUAUAUAUAUAUAUAUAUAUAUAUAUAUAUAUAUAUAUAUAUAUAUAUAUAUAAACCAUGCAGCAACAGGGGCAUGCAAAAAAAAAAAAGGUCAGCUACCAACCGGGACUAAAGAUCGAUCUUUACUCCCGGUUAUUUCACCUGGGACUAAAGAUAGCGAUCUUUAGUCCCGGAUUGGUACUCCCGGUUUGGAAACCGGGAAUAAAGGGGGGUUACGAACCGGGACUACAAAGGGUUUCUCCACCAGUGCUCGCAGGAGGCGAUGAGGUUGUAGUGGCAGUAGGUCAGCCCGGACGACUCCGGUGGUGGCGGCUCCGUGAAGGUGGUCAUGCAGCACAGGUCCUCGAGUAAGAAGGUGUCGCCGCCGGUGGGCACCACAGCGUUGUACGCGCAGGGCGGCCUUGGCGUUGCUGACGUGGCGCUCGUCGGUCAUCACGUCCCAUUCUAGAGAGAGGGUGUCCAGGGUUACAUAUUAAGCGUGAAGAGAAACAUAAGAUCUAAAUAAAUCGAUGAGAGCUCAUUCAAAAUGGUAGAUAUACCGCACAAUCUAGCCCAAUGUCGAAGCCUAAGCCUAUUAGCUGUUUUCGAUAAUAGAGGCUAGCCGAUGAAGCUGAGAGAACAAGACCAGUCUAGAUUAUGCGAUAUAUAUGAUAACUCGGAAGUUUGCGUGGACAGGAUUAGAGUGUCAUGACGAUGUAAGCACUAAUUCCAAGAACGCAAGCCGCCAAAACAAGCUUUACCUCUUCGUCGGAGAUCGAACCCGAUGCAGCCCAACUUGAAAGCAAAAACUCAUCGAAACAAUGAAAAUAGAAAAGGGUGGCGAUGCGACGAAGUGUAUUGAACUGUCGCCCCUUGAUUACAUGGUGUCGGGCCAUAUUUACACCCGAAGUACAUGAGAUGUCCUUGCUGGACAUGACUCUUAUCUCUAAUACAAUUUAAAAUACGAAUGAGCCCUUUAGGUGGACCCUUACCAAAAUAUCUCUAAGGAAACUAGAAAAUGUUCUAAUUAAUAUAUACAAUUGCCCUUUUUAGGACUCCUAUCCUUGUGUGGCAAUAGCUAUGAAGGGCUUCAACCAAUCCGACAAUGGUCAUGGGGCCAUUUCUCCCGAGACUGGUUGCAUCGGCUUGGCUCCAUCGGAUCCGGCACUUAGUUGAUAUAUGGCAGCCAAUACUAUUUGUAGCCGAUUCACGUAUUAGCCGAUGCUACUCGUAACCGACGUGUACUUUGCUUUCUCAAGCGGACUUUCUCCAAAUCUGCUUCGUUUCCAACUUCGAAUCCGACCCAUGGCAUUACCAAUUUUGGUCGUCAACAGUCGCCCUGCCUAGUGAUCAGCCGGAUCGACUCGUUUGGCUCUGGAGCACCUUUGGGCAAUAUUCGGCUGCCUCAGCCUACCAAAUGAUGUUCGCGGGAUGUGAGCAGUUCUCGCCAUUUAGGUCAACAAAGCGCCACAUCGGUGCAAAUACUUCGCAUGGCCGGUAGCCCAUCGCAAAUGCUGGACGGCGGAUCGACUGAGUGCGAGAGGACUCCCCCACCCAGCCCGCUGUGUCCUCUGUGACCAGCAUGACUAGUCCAUCGACCACAUCCUAGUUGCAUGUCCAGAGUCCCUUCAAUUUUGGUGGCUUAUCCUUAAUGCCAUUGGUUGCCCGGGUUGUCACCUGGUGGCUGAGACCUCAUUCAUCAAUUGGUGGCUGGUUGCUAGAGGAAGAGUUCCCCAGCCUCAGCAGCGUGGGUUCGACACGGUAAUCAUCCUGGCAGCAUGGUCUAUUUGGAAGGAAAGGAAUAUCCGGGUCUUCAACCAACAACAACGAUCCUGGAUUGAGGUUGCAAAGGCGGCGGCCAAUGAGGCUGCCCUCUGUAACGAAGCAGGGCUUCUACGGUUCUACCUGACUAGAACGUCGUUGUGUCCCCGGUCGCAAAAUGGAUGCCGCGAGAUUUAGGCCAUAGGCUUUGGUUCCAAUUUUGUUUUAUUUCAUCUUUCGGUUGGUUGGUUGGUUGUAACGUGAACUUCUCAAAAUCUUAAUACAAAAGAUACGCAACGCUUUUACGCAUUCUCGAAAAAAAAACUUAUCCUUUCUCUUUCCCAUGAUUUCGUUGAGCGUUGUCUACAUCUUGGUCCGGGAGAAAUUAUGUCUGAUGUAGUGAUGCUGUUGUUCAGUUUUUUAGCUAUUAUGUUUUUUUUUUGGGUAGGGGUUAUUGUUCCUCAUUAGUACAAAGGGAAAGAAAUGUCAUUAAUAACAUAGACUCAUCGAUGAAAAAAAAACAUAUUGCACAAAAAUGUCAUACAAUAUCAUAUUAUCGUACUUUACGUGAAAUAUAUUUGAUGUACACUAUGAAUUAAGUUAAAGCUCAAUUGCACAGAUCAUGCAAAAAUAUUUUUUUUGCUAACAUGAGAUUUUAGAAAUUAUUAAAGAUAAUAAAAUUGCACCGUAGCGUUUAGCACAAACAUAUCACUAGUUAGUAGAAAGUAGAAAGGGCAAAAAAAAAACUAUUAAUAAUAUAGACUCAUCAAUUAAAUUCCCGUUACAUGUACUACAUGUAUACCAUGCUAAUAUCAGUCAAAGUAAGGAUAGUCGUAGUCGUAUUCUAUUUCACAAUCGUCCUCUUUGUGUUCUGGCAGAAGUCUAUGUCCCGCGAUGAACUUGUUCCUAUCAGGAUGCGUAAGGUAGCUUCGUUGACGGAAACAGGCAUUGCAGUUGACGCUAUAAUCACGAGGAUUUUGGAGGAUACAGCACGCGACGACGCCGUCCUCCCCACCACAGACUUGGCCGCCGUCGUCGACCUCCACCUCCGCAAAGAACCAGGCGGCUGAUCCGGUGGCCUCGCAGGAGGCGAUGAGGUUGUAGUGGCAGUAGGUCAGCCCAGACGACUCCGGCGGCAGCGGCUCCGUGAAGGUGGUCAUGCAGCACAGGUCCUCGAGGAAGAAGGUGUCGCCGCCGGCGGGCACCGCGGCAUUGUACGCGCGCAGGGCGGCCCUGGCGUUGCUGACGUGGCGCUCGUCGGUCACCACUUGCCAUUCUAGAGAGAUGGUGUUCAGGGUUACGUAUUGUGGUUUCGCCACCGGUUCCAUGGGGGGUUUUGUGGGUUUGCGUGGUGGUGCUCCUGCUCCGGCUCCGGCUGGCGAACGCGAACCCAUGGAAUUCCGUCCCUUCCCUUCCGUUUCUCCGAUCCUCGUGUGGGCGAUGAAUGUAUUGGGCGAUAGCUGAUCAGCGAGCGACUGAGAUGGAGAAGGAGUUGGUUGGGAGUCGAGCGGCCAUCCAUCGAUCCAUUAUUAUAUGGCCUGGGCGCGCGCAAGCGGAUUGGAGUCGGAGAGGGAGUAGCGAUGUAUUCCGAAGCGGUCUCCAAUUACGCGGCUCUGAUUCGGAGUUUCGGACUCGGAUCUGUUCUUCUAGUUUUCUGUUUCCCUCUCUCCUGUUCGACUCGACUCGGACUCGGCCGCCGCCUGCACUGCAUCAGCCCCGAUCUACCGGUUUUCUCCCAUUAUAUUCCAUCCAUUUUUCUGGUCUCUCUCCAUCCGCCAUGGUGAGUUUUGUUUGUUUUGUUUUGUUUCAUUUUCUGGUCGAGAUUAGGUCUUCUCUCCCUUCCUAUAACAUGAAUUUAUUGAUCAGUUUUUUGUUGCGAUUUCUAACCCGUUCUUUCCUGUUUUGUCAGACUUUUCUGUCCCAGUCAAGAUUUACUUGGAUUUACCUUAUGUCUUCUCGUAGUUAGUACUUCCUCCGUUUCACUUUCUAGCAUUGCAUAUAUUUAUAUGUGUGUUUAGAUUCAUUAACAUUUAUAAUUCUAUAUGAAAUUAUAAAUGUGAGUAAUAUUAGAAAGUCUUGUAACCUGAAACGGAGGAAGUAUCUUCCAAUUUAUUAGCAAUUUGCUAGUAUGGUUCGUACUCAAUAUGAUUCCUGCAAUAGUAAACCAAAUGACGAUCAUAUACUACAAGAUUUGCUCAUAACAAGUAUAAACCAAAAAUAUACUGAUUGAAGCAUCCACUACAAGAAUCUAAAAGACAUACAAAAGUACAAACCUCUUGAAAGUUUUAAAAAAUAACUCAACAAAAUAGUCCAUCAUACAGUUUUGAAAAAGGUAAUCUAUAACUGAAAUAGUCACAUUCUUUCUACUAAAUCCUAGUAAAAGAUUAUGGUAGACAUAUAUACAACAGAUAAAGUUGCCAUACACCAGAAAUCAAUACUACAUCAUAGCCAUAUACAGCAGAGACAUCCAUGCACAGCUCCUUGACUAUCUUGAAGAGCAUGCACCAUCUUUUACAAAAGCAAAUUAUUCCAAUGCACGCAUCAAUUCAUCAUCAUGUCCACACAAAAUACUCUAAAACGAUGAAAAACCGUAAACACUGAAAUGCAGAGGGCGUUCAAUUGUCAAGGGGCCAUGUAUGUCUCCACGCACUGCAAACCCCCAUUGAACCUGUAAACAUUGCCCCCUAAAACUGUCACCAUAGCAACUUGUUCACCGUAGUGCAGCCUCAGGGUGCAUUUUGGGUUGCUAGACCACACCGUUGCUUCUUGCAGCUCCCCUUUCUCCCAGCUGAUGUUCACAGUCACAUUGCCGCGAGCCCUCAAUCCCUUCACGUAGCCUUUGGGCCACUUUUCGCGCGGCAGUGCUGGUAGCAAGUAGAGAUCAGCAUCACCAUGGGUGCUCUGGAGCAGCAUUUCAGCAAUUGCAGCUGUGAAUCUGUAAGUGAAGAAUUGGGGACAUACCAAUAAGCACAAGUUAGUUACAAGUAUUUGCUCCAGGAACAUGGAUCAAUACUCGUUAAAUUUACAAGCAAGUGGAACUUACUAGGAAGAGCAAGAAAUAAAUGAUAGUCAUUGACCAAAAUAAAGUAACUAAAAAGGUGAGAAAUUUGUACCCAAAAUUUGCAUCAAUUUGGAAGGGUGGGUGUGCUGUCCAAAGAUUGGUAUACAAUCCUCCCUCAAAGUCAACCUUGCCACCAGGAGGAACCAAGGUGAUCAACUUUAGGAUCAUCCUGUAUGCAUUCUCACUAUUCAGAAGGCGUGCCCACAGUGCCAUCUUCCAUGUGGUCGACCAUCCAGGGCCAUCUUCCCCUGAUAAGCAAGCAGCCAUGAUUAACUUACUUGCCCUGGGUAAAAUUAUUCUUCUAAUUUUCCUUAAUGUAAUCAACCAUUGUUCAUGAAAAUAUUUUUUAAGGCAAAUCAUGUUCAUCCUCUUUUUUGCCAAAAUUUAUAUUCCACAAAUAUAUUCCUUGGUAGUCAAUACUCAUGAGGGAAUCAUAACAAAUUUGAAGUCUAAUAGUUUAUUUAUUUUUUCUACAUAUACUCUUAGUUAUUUUCUGUUCAUUUACCCUGCUAUGGAAUUUGUUGCCAUCAUUUGACCAAUCCCACAUGAUUAGUCCACGUGCUUGGUUAAAAUAAAUUGACAUUAAACAAUCACAAGGGUGGUAGAUCUCUUGGUUCUGGCUGUAACCAGAAAUUAGUAGCGCAUAGGGUUUAGGAGAUCCUAGAUAUGGAAUUUGCAACCAUGAUCGCAACACAUCAAGCACAGAAUAAAGAAUGUACUAUAUAUCUUUAUGGUAGUAUUUAUUUGAUAUGUUAUAAGCAAAACCACCAGGUUCCUAACUGGUUAUUCUGUGUAAGCUCAUUAGAAGUUUUUGGAAAACCUUAGACAUCAUCUGAAAAUGUGAUUAGUAGAGCACCAAUAUCCAUAACUUUUCCAUAUUAAAGACCAUGAAGUUGCUCAUUGAGUUCUGCAAACCUCGUUUGUGGAGACUAUUGGCAACAGCUUUGCAAACCUCAGGAUUUUUCUGCAUGGUUAUAGUAUGACCAGGGUAAAGACCAAACAGAUGUGACAGGUGUCUAUGAUGGACUUCUGGGUCCUCGAAAUCUUGUGCCUGCAUUCAAAACACAUUGUAGAUGGCCAAUAUGUAUUAGUAAAUCACAUUUUUUUAACAGAAACUAUAGAUUAGCUUCCUGCAGAUUUGAACUUUUACCCAUUCCAUGAUCGUGCCAUCUUUAGAAAUUUUAACUGGAGGGAGCAUUGGGAGUGCCUUCUUGAUCCUUUCAACCAGAUUAGUAUCAGAUUUUCCCAAGACCUAUUGAUCAUUGAAUCAACACUCGGUUUACAGAAUAGAAGUUCCCAAAUAUACCAACAUUGAUCUUUCUUUUCCUCAAGAGGAAUGUCAGAUUCAAUCCAUAUCUCUAAUUACAGCACAGAAACUAGCAAGGAUGGAAUUACCUCUGCAGACGAAAUGACAGCCAGGAAAACUUCACGGAUAAUAGAGAUGUCCAUUGUAGUUGAAUAGCUCACACUAGCAAGGUGACCACCAGUACCAGGAGCUAUGAAAGGAUGCUCUGGAGAAGUAGAUGGAUUUGUUUCCAAAUAGUCUCCUGGUCCCUUGAUCAACCAAUCAAUUAAAAACAUUGCACAUCCCUCCAGUAAUGGAUAUGCUCUUUUCUCCAAAAAUUCCUAGAAGACAAACAACAUUGACAGAUAUAUUUUUGAAGGAAUUUAUUCACUAUUUAAAUUGGAUAACUCAAGUAUUCCUGAACACAAUAAAUUACAGAUCUGGGCAAUAAAUAUUUGUGGGAAUAUCCAAAAUAUAUGAGCUAAAACUUGCACACUAUAAACAUAAAAAUGAUGUACUAAAAUAAUAUUAAUUAAAAAAUGAGCUUGUAACCAGAGAUGAUCCAUGCAAAAUAAGACGGGGAAGUCAAUAAAGUACAAAUGAUAGCAAUUAGCACAGCUAGUCCUUACUUUGUCCAGUGAAUACUGGUAGUUUUCCCAAAGAUGUGUACACAGCCAGGCACCCCCCAUUGGCCACAAUGCAUACAUCGCAUCUACGUAAUAUGCAGAUGAUUUUGCCCAUAUGUCCGUGACGUGAUGAGUUACCCAGCCACUCGCUUGGUAAUUGACCUAUGACAAAACAGUGUAAUUCCAACCAUGGUGAGAAGAGAGAUCAACCAUGUUUGUAACUAUUCUUUGUUUUAUCUGUUAUAAACAUGAAUGAUGCUUUAUAAUGGGAACAAAAUCCAUUGUUCUCCUCUAGGCGCUAUGUAACUUACAUUCAUAGUUUUCUUGCAACAUUACCUAAGCACAUCAUAAAAACAUAAGAAUUAUAUAAUAUGUUAGCAAUCGAAUACCGUUUUUUUCUCUUUUAUGUUAACAAUGACACUAUAGAAUGAAGUUUGACACUAUAGUAGGAAGUUUGGUGACUAUGUUUAACUGUUUAUGUAGUAAAUGUCAGCUCAUUAUCAAGCAAACAUUAUAUGAUGAUGCAAAUGAAGAAAUUUCACUAUUGCUUUUGAGUCGAAUCUAAAACAAUCAAAUCUUCACCUUUUUCUCAUGCUACUUAUAUUUGAAGUAACCUUACUUUUCACUGAAACCAAACAAGAAAGGAGUAUAGUCCAUAACUUACUUUUGCUGUUUUUGUUCCAUUAACCGCAAGAGAUCCUAUCAAGUCAAAUAGUGGUUCUUGGCAUUCAGUAAGGUUACAAGGAAGUGUUGGCCAGUAAUUCAUCUCAAGGUUUAUGUUCAGGUGAGGAGAAGCCCUGAAAAUUAAACAGCAUGAGACUUGAUUCAUAAACAGAUCACAAACGAAGUAGAAAAUAUGAUAUCAGGCAACUCAGCUAAGGUAACUUUUUACUGUAAAGGCAAGGGGCUUCUCAGGACAUCUAUAUAAUCAACAGAUAAGUUUAAAGGUGCCUCCCUCAAAGAUGCAGAAAUCUAAAAAUUGACCCAAAAAUGCAAAAUACAUUCCCAGAGAUUCCCACAAUUGAGAGAAGAAAGAGAAGGAUCUACAUGUAUCAGAUAAAUUGUAGAAACAAUGCAACUAUUCAAUUUUGUUAAAAAAAAAGAAUGUGAGUGGUGGACAAAAACUAUCUAUGACUACUCUUUCUUUAUAUUAUGUUAUGGCACAUGCUGGGUAUGGUUACAAGGACUUGGAUCAGGGGUACUCUCCCUCUUCUAUCUGCUGCAGGGUUUCACCCUGUCAUAAGAGACUCUGGGACUUUACUCUUGAUUUCUCAUUGCUUAAUGAAAGCAAAUGCAACUCCAUCCUUACCUAGAUAUUUAACUUAAACUGAGAUAAACUUAUCUCUAGUAUUGUGGAAAUAGAUGGUACUAAUAAACUAAUCUUCUCCCAAACCGAAAGUAAUCCCCAUGCUGCAGUAGAACCGGAUGAACAGUGACUACACUAGAUCUGGGGCCCAUAAGCCAGUAACAAUUAUAUUCAAACUACAAGUUACACAUUUUAUUCCAAAUAUUAAAAUUGCAUUUCUCAUUGCUUACUGAAAGCAAAUGCAACCCACAUAUUAUAAAAAUAUAUACAACAAACAGGUGUUAGAGUUAUGCAACCGACACAAUUUAUGAAAUGUAUUACAAAAUCUAACCAGGCAACAAAACAUAAUUAACAGAUUUUUUGGUACUGGCACUAUGAAAUGAAUCCAAUUGCAAUACACAGGAUUGCUAUGGUAUCAAUAAAAUUUUGAAAACUCCAACUGUAUGACUGAUGGUAUACAGGAUCCUUGUCAUGUAUGAUUUGAUACAAGACUGAAAAGCAACUGAACAAACAUAACUCUAAAGAAUGUCUUCAUACAUGUAACAAGCAUUCUGUUCAUAUGUGUGUUUACAACCACUAAAAUGAAUAUGAAUAAAAGUUACCAGGUACUGUUCAAAUUUAAUCAAACUAAUAGUACAUGUUUUAAGCUUAAUAUUUGUGUUUGGAAAGUAUAGGCGGUCCUUGCCUGGAUAUAAAACAAGCAGAAAAUGAAUAAGCAGCAACAAAUAACUGAAGCAAAAGCUUUUAUUGAAAGACUUACUCCCAAGCAGGUGCAAAAUCUUGGUUCCAUAUUCCUUGCAGAUUAGAUACCUGUGUCCCAGGCCGAGAGGAGGAAAUGAGCAGGUAGCGACCAUACUGAAAUAACAAUUCGACCAAAGAAGGAUCCUCAUCGCUUCUAAAGGAAUUAAUUCUUUCUGCUGUAGUCUUUACGUCAUGAUCAACUUCUUCCAAGAUAUCUUUCUCAAGCAUUGAUGCUUGCGAUAGUUGCAGAGUUACACGGUGAAAAAGACCCUGAUAAUCUUCCAAAUGAGCAGCUUUGAGCUGAGAAAAUGUAGCAUUCCUGCUGAUAUUCAAUGUAUUUAGAGCAGCUACUUCAGGGUUUAAUUUUGACUCUGAAGGAUUCACGAAAGGCCCAUCGAAUGAGGAAGCAGCUGCAACCAGCAAAACAACCCAAUCUGCAGCAUCAAUUCUUAACUUUUGAUCAUCAAUAAUUGUGACUUUUGCGGAAGUGCCACCAAUCUGCAGCCCAACAGCAGUUGCAAACUUGAUGCCAAUAGCAUCGUUGGCCCCAUUGUGAUGCAGUGCAGGUCUUCGUCCUGGACAUGUACCUUGCAUAAUCAUCUCAUUUGCAUUUGUUAUCCGAACAUUGUGGUUUAGUUGACUGUUUAAGGAUAAAGUGAAAGAAACAUGUCCUGAUUUGUUAGCAGAGAUCUUGGUGGCAAAAACCUGGUGUGGAUUUGAGCAGAAGUGCUCUCUACUGUACUGAACUUCCCCAAUAUUAUAGCUGAUGCAAACAGUUGCAGUACGUAGAUCUAGCUCUCUUUUGUAAGAAGUAUACCCCAGACUAGAUGAGUCAAACUCCAGAUUUAUGUCUCCAAGAGGUUGGUAAACCUUCAUAGAAAAUAAAGGUAAAAAUAGCUUUUCAUUCACAUUUAAAUGAAUUUCUUUGCACUUGAUUGUAAUGUUGCACAUACAGUGAUUCAUGCCAUCCUUAUAAACUUAUGGAACCCAUUAUCCCUAGUGGCGUGAUAAAAUAACCAUCUAUUCAAAAAUUUAAUUUAAUGGCAGUUGUGGUAUGAGCUCUUCAAAACUAUCAUAUGUUUUCUUGAAUAAGCAUGCCAUCAUUCCACAUUCAAGAAAGUAGAUCAAACAAAAUAAUUUCUGGAGUUCUACUUAAUGCAUAAGCAACAAGGGAAACAAAAUUAUGGCUUUCUUCAACAUUGUUUUGGUGAGUUUUAUUUUUCUUUCAAACGAAGGCAAAUCUUUCCGUUGUAUAAAUUCAUAGAGCAGGAGUAUUUUGGUGAGGUACAGUCAUAUAGAACAUUUAUAUUUAAGGCUAGAUCAUGUAAGGGCUAAAAUAUGCAUAUUCGUUAACUAAUAAAGGAUCUAUCCUCUAUGCAACUAGCACAUCAACCAGAAGAAGAAAAUGAAAAAUAUAUUCUCAUUUGCAACUCAUAAAUCAGAAUACCAAGGCUAGCAUACACAAACACAUACCUCUGUUGGACCACCGAAAAGGCCAGAGGCAGCCUCUGUAGCAUCAACAAACUUCUCUCCAUCAACGAGCUUCCUCACAACAGCGAGUGCGUAUGGCGCAUUUGGGUCAGUGUAGUUCCCAGGCACGCCGGUCCAAAGGGUAUCAUCUACAAGAUCAUUCAGCUGUGAGACACAUAAGAAAGAAAAAAAGGAGAAGACUGUCGCUAUCAUGAGCAUAGUCCAGCUGGGGCAUUUCGUCGAACGCCUUGCGAGCAGCAUCAACAGGGCCAAGAAACCGAGAAAUAACGGCAAGCGGCAACGUACGGUUGAGCUGGAGCUUCUCGGAGGCGACGCUGCCCCAGACCAUGGCUCCGAGGCUGCCGUUCCCGAUGGGCGCCGCGUCCGUGAAGUGCUCGGCCGGGGAGUCGAACACCACCUUCAGCGGCCGCUCCUCCUCGUCGUCGUCGGCCGGCCGCCGCACCCAGACCCAGCCGUCGCCGUCCAUGGGAGAGAACGCGGUGGGUGGCGGGCGGAGGAGAGGUGGAAUCCGGGUUGAGAAGGGAGGGAGUGAGGCAGUGCUUUAACAGGUGAGGGUGGAGGGGGUUGGCAAUGGCAAUGGCAAGCUUCCAUUUUGGGAUGGGUUUCCGUGUUCUCUUCUUGGGUGGGUGGUGUGAAUUUUGGCGCCAACAGAAGUACAGAACGGAGAUACUUACUCCCUCCGUUUUUUUAUAUAUAUUUCAGUUGAUUUUUUAAGAAACAUUUGAUCGUUCAUCUUAUUUAAAAUUUAUAUAUUAUUUUCUUUAUUUCACAAUGUAUAUAACAUCAAUAUGAAUGUGAAAAAUAUUAAAAUGACUUACGUUAUAAAACAGAAGAAGUAUCAUUUAUUUUUUAUAACUCAAUUUAUCUUUAAAUGUUCUUUAAACAUGACUUAAAUUUUUUUAUAUUUAUAUAAAAUUUUAAAUAAGACGAAUAGUCAAACAUUUAUCAAAAUACCAACGACAUCGUAUAUUUAAAAAUAGGGUUACAUAUGAAAAGAAGGUUUCCGUUCCAUUGCCACGGUUUGGGCAUUCUUUCUGUUGCAGCAUUGCCGCUUCCAGCAAGCGAGCAACUAUAGUGCCCUAAAAAAACACAAAAGGACAAAAGGCAAAUUAUUCUGAAAAUUCUUCAAACCCUCAUGAUUUUCUGCUAUUACUCAUUUUUGGCAUUUUGGAAUAUUGUUCUAUAUACUUUAGUAUGAGAACGUGUAACCCGACUGGUAGAGCUACCAGGCCAUGCUUCAAUCCCCUCAAAUUCAAAUUCAGGUAUUCUCAUAAGUUUCUUCUUUAUCGAUACUGGGCACUAAGUUCUUCCUUAGUAUCGUAGAAAAAAAAUACUGUAGUGUCUGUUUUACACAAAAGAGAGAUGUGUGUUGAGCCAAGAUUGUGUUCUAUAUAAUGCUAUUCGCAAUGGUUAUUUUCUCUUUUCCGUUCUCGAACCGCUAAACAGUUCGUUUCACGAAAAAAAAAUUACAUGGAAGUAUUUUCUAAAAAAGAGUCCGUAUUAAUUUAUUUUAUUUUAUAAGUUUAAAUAAUUAUUAAUCGAUUAAUCGUGCAUGAACACCUCGUCUUAUGCGCCGCUGAUUAGGUGAACCAAAAUGCUUAUUCGAACAAGGCCUAAAUAACAUGCUAGCUAUUUUUCUCAAAAAGUUAAUGUUAGAAUAAAUAGGCUAGGCCUGAUUUUUUUAUUAAAUCUCAAGGACCCAUAAUAAAUGUUAAGGAUAAUAAUACUACCCUGGGAAUUAAAAGAGGAGUACCUCAACUUAAAUAGGAAGUUAUUGAAGGCUCCCUGUUGACCGGUUGACUUAAAUAGGAAGUUAUUGGAGCCUCUCUGUUGACCGAUUGAGGUGGGGAUCGAAAAGCCACGCGCGCGCGCCGAGCCGAGGCAUGCGCUGCGUCUCUCUCUCCUUUUUGCAACAGACCGGAAUUCAAUCCCGCGAGAUUGCUUCUGUAACGGCUGUUAAAUUCAAUCCCGCGAGAUUGCCUCUGUAACAGACAGCCGAUUCAAUGCGAUUGAUAGCGUCGUUACGUUACUACGGCAACGGGCGGAUUCCUCUCUGGCGCUAUUAGGAAACAGGGGACCCCGCGAGAUUGCCUCUGUCAAUGCAAUUGAUAGCGUCGUUAUGUUACUGUGGCAAAGGGCGGAUUCCUCUCCGGCGCUAUUAUGAAAUAGAGGACCCCGCGAGAUUGCCUCUGUAACGGACAGCCGAUUCCCGGAAUUCAAUCCCGCGAGAUUGCCUCUGUAAUGGACAGCCGAUUCAAUGCGAUUGAUAGCGUCGUUACGUUACUGCGGCAACGGGCAGAUUCCUCUCCGGCGCUAUUAGGAAACAGAGGAACCCGAUCAGAUCUCAUCGCUUAGUUUCCAAAUCGUUGGUUCUUCCUCCUCGUGCCUGUGCUGCUUCGGUUUUCCCCGGUUCUGAUCACUUGCGCGCACGAGAGAUCGGAACAAACAUGGCCUCCGGAACCACACCUUCGCCUGAGAUCUGCACCGGGUAGGCGGGUGACUGGAGCUGCCGCACCCGCACCUGGAGAUGGCGCACCGAUCGACAACACCAACGGAGGCAGUUCUGCCUCACAAUCCAGCGGAGGGACUUUCACAGGGUAUAACUUUCUACCGCGACUUUGUGUUUGUUGCUUCUGUUAGUCGCAAUACUAUUGUGUUCUCUCCAUGAUGAUGAUGCUUAUUCUAUCCUAAGCAUGCUCCUGGUUAUGUUUAAUUUUAUCACUAGAUCACCUCACAUUGUUCGUGCCAUGAUUAUUGUCUUAAUAUUUUGAUUAAAAUAUGCUGAUAUAUGACUAUAUUUCCAACAAUCCAAAAACCUGAUAGGUCAUUUUUGGUAGUUGGCUUUGCUGCUGCACUGAAACCACAUGCUUUUGAUGGUUCUAAUUAUAAGAGAUGGAAAGCAUGUGCACUACUGUGGUUGACAGCGAUGCAAUGUUUCUAUGUUUCACGGGGUAAACGAAGUGAACCACCUCUCUCUCCUGAGGAGGAGGUUAAGUUCGAGGCUUCGGAUUGCCUGUUCCGUGGAGCAUUGAUCAGUGUACUCGCUGACAAUAUAGUGGACGUGUAUAUGCACAUGCCUUCAGGGAAGGACAUGUGGGAUGCACUUGAGGCCAAGUUCGGAGUUUCCGACGCCGGCAGCGAGCUGUAUGUCAUGGAGCAGUUCUAUGACUACAAAAUGGUCGAUGACUGUUCUGUAGUUGAACAAGCUCAUGAGAUUCAGAUGCUGGCUAAGGAACUUGAGAACAACAACUGUGAGUAGCCGGACAAGUUUGUGGCAGGUGGCAUUAUUGCCAAAUUGCCACCUUCUUGGUCGGGCUUUGCCAUUUCUCUAAAGCACAAGAGACAAGAGUUCAGUGUUUCUGAUCUUAUUGGCUCUUUGGGUGUUGAGGAGAAGGCGAGGGCAAAGGACAACCGGGGCAAAAAGGUUGAGGGAGGUUCUAGUGCCAAUAUGGUACAGAAGAAGAACCCUCAUGCAUCCCACAACAACAAGAAAGUCAAGCCUGAUGUCAAACCCAAGGCUACAACCAAUUUUAAGAAGAAAGGCAAGGGAAAGGCAAAAGGAGACCGCUUUGUGUGUGGCAAGUCUGGGCAUUGGGCCAAGGACUGUCCUGAGUGCAAAGACAGGAAGUCUGCCAACAUGGUCAUUAGCGAGGGCGGAAGAACAUCGGGGUACGGUAAAAUUUUACCUACAGUUCUCUCUGUUUUUCAUUCACCUGAUUGGUGGAUUGAUAUUGGUGCUAAUAUUCAUGUAUGUGCUGAUAUUUCCCUGUUUUCUUCUUAUCAGGUCGGGAGAGGUUCCUCCUUGUUGAUGGGAAACAGGUCACUUGCGGCUGUUCAUGGUGUUGGUACGGUCGAUCUGAAGUUUACUUUGGGAAAGACCGUGCAGCUGAAGAACAUGCAGCAUCUCCCUUCGAUAAAGAAUAAUCUAGUUAGCGGCUCUCUACUGUGUAGAGAAGGUUUUAGACUUGUGUUUGAAUCCAAUAAAUGUGUCAUAUCUAAAUAUGGAACUUUUAUUGGAAAAGGUUAUGACAGGGGAGGCUUGUUCCGCUUUUCUUUGGAUGACAUGUGUAAUAAUAAUAAUGUUGUGAACCAUAUUAGCGAGAAUGAUGUGUCCAAUGUGUGGCAUUCGCGACUCUGUCAUGUGAAUUUCGGUUGUAUGACACGCUUGGCUAACAUGAGUUUAAUUCUAAAAUUCACUUGGGUCAAAGGUUCCAAGUGUCAUACUUGUGUUCAAUUGAAACAACCUCGCAAGACUUAGAAGGCAUCUGAGGCGAGGGAUUUGGCACCUCUAAAACUUAUUCAUUCUGAUCAGUGUGAAAUGAAUGGCGUGUUGACUAAAGGGGGGGAAGAAAUAUUUCAUGACGUUGAUAGAUGAUUGCACUAGAUUUUGUUAUGUGUAUUUAUUGAAAACAAAUGAUGAAGCAUUGCAUUACUUUAAGACCUAUAAAGCUGAGGUAGAAAACAACCUUGAAAGGAAAAUCAAACGGUUGAGGUCUGAUAGGGGUGGAGAGUAUUUUUCCAAUGAGUUUACAUCUUUUUGCGAAGAGUUUGGAAUUAUUCUUGAGAGGACACUUCCCUAUUCACCCCAAUCAAAUGGGGUAGCCGAACGAAAGAACCGUACUCUAACUGAGAUGGUGAAUGCCAUGUUAGACACUGCGGGACUUUCCAAGGAAUGGUGGGGUGAGGCAGUUUUGACUACUUGUCAUGUCCUAAAUAAAAUUCCAAUGAAGCAUAAGGAAGUAACACCAUUCGAGAAAUGGGAAAGAAAGAAAUUAAAUCUCUCAUACCUAUGAACAUGGGGCUGUUUGGCCAAGGUAAAUGUACCUAUAGCCAAAAAGCGGAAACUUGGACCAAAUACUGUUGAUUGUGUGUUCAUUGGUUAUGCUAUUCACAGUGUGGGUUAUAGAUUCUUAAUAGUAAACUCUGGAGUACCCGACAUGCAUGUUGGUACAAUUCUUGAGUCCAGAGAUGCUACAUUCUUUGAGAAUGAAUUUCCCAUGAAACAUACACCUAGCACUUCUAGUCAAGAAACUGUCAUGCCCCAUGAGCACUUUGCACCGAUAGAACACAAUGAUCAAACGCCUGAGGAAAAUCCUGAGGAGGACAACAUUGUAGAUACUCGCAAGAGUAAGAGACAAAGGGUUGCAAAAUCCUUUGGAGAUGACUACAUUGUAUACCUCGUGGAUGACACCCCAAGAACCAUAGAAGAGGCAUAUUCAUCUCCUGACGCUGACUACUGGAAGGAAGUAGUACGCAGUGAGAUGGACUCAAUUAUGUCUAAUGGUACUUGGGAAGUCGUUGAGCGUCCAUAUGGGUGCAAGCCUGUAGGAUGCAAAUGGGUUUUCAAGAAAAAGCUUAAGCCUGAUAGUACAAUUUAAAAGUAUAAGGCAAGGCUUGUGGCCAAGGGUUAUACCUAAAAAGAAGGCGAGGAUUUUUUCGACACCUACUCACCAGUUGCCCGUUUGACCACGAUUCGAGUACUACUUGCUCUAGCAGCCUCUCAUGGUCUUCUCGUCCAUCAGAAUUGGACGUUAAGACAGCUUUCCUAAACAGAGAGCUAGAGGAGGAGAUCUAUAUGGAUCAACCAGACGGGUAUGUACUAGAAGGUCAGGAAGGAAUGGUGUGUAAACUGUUGAAAUCCUUGUAUGGCCUUAAGCAAGCACCUAAGCAAUGGCAUGAGAAGUUUGACACCACACUUACAUCUGCUAGCUUUGUUGUGAACGAAGCUGACAAAUGUAUGUACUAUCGCUAUGGUGGGGGAGAAGGAGUGAUCUUGUGUUUAUAUGUCGAUGACAUAUUGAUCUUUGGGACCAGCCUCAAUGUGAUUGAGGAGGUCAAGGACUUUCUGUCCAAGAGCUUUGAAAUGAAGGAUUUGGGAGAGGCUAAUGUUAUUCUUAACAUUAAGCUACUGAGAGGAGAUGAGGGUGGGAUUGCACUUGUGCAAUCCCACUAUGUGGACAAAGUUUUAAGUCACUUUGGCUACAGUGACUACAAGCCAGCUCCUACUUCUUAUGAUCCCAGCGUGCUAUUAAGGAAAAACCGAAGAAUAGCAAGGGAUCAACUGAGAUACUCCCAAAUCAUUGGUUCAUUGAUGUACUUGGCUAGUGCAACGAGGCCUGACAUCUCAUUUGCUGUAAGCAAGCUGAGCUGGUUUGUUUCAAAUCCGGGAGAUGAUCAUUGGCAGGCUCUAGAAAGAGUAAUGCGCUAUCUAAAGGGUACUAUGAGCUGUGGAAUUCACUAUACCGGGUACCCAAAAGUACUGGAAGGGUAUAGUGACUCAAACUGGAUAUCUGAUGUUGAUGAGAUAAAGGCCACAAGUGGAUAUGUGUUCACACUUGGAGGUGGCGUUGUUUCCUAGAAGUCUUGCAAGCAGACCAUCUUAACGUGGUCAACAAUGGAAGCAGAACUUAUAGCACUAGAUACUGCGACAGUUGAGGCCGAGUGGCUUCGAGAACUCCUGAUGGAUUUGCCGGUGGUUGAAAAACCAGUGCCAGCUAUCCUAAUGAACUGUGAUAAUCAAACAGUGAUUAUUAAAGUGAACAGUUCAAAGGACAACAUGAAGUCAUCUAGGCAUAUCAAAAGAAGACUGAAAUCUGUCAAAAAGCAGAAAAACUCCGAAGUGAUAGCAUUGGACUAUUUCCAAACGGCUAAAAAUCUGGCAGAUCAGUUUACCAAGGGGCUACCACGUAAUGUGAUAGACAUUGCAUCAAGGGAAAUGGGCUUGAUACCCACCUAAGGUUGCACAAUAGUAGAAACCUGUCCAUUGUGAUCGGAGAUCCCGUGAAUUUGGAUGGCUAAACAAACUAUUGUGUGGCUGAGAGAAGAGACCCUUGAAAAGGGCUCAUUUUCAUGAUGUAUUUCUCUUCUAUUCUGCAUGGUAGGAUGGCUUAUGCCUUAAUGUGGUCCAAGUGGCUUUUCUAAGCAGAGAUGUUGACCUACAGAACAUCUCAGAAGGAACACAACUAUAUGAGUUCGACUGCUAGUCACAGUAUAUGAGAUUUGGGCGAUCUCUAGAUACUCAUGAAAGGGCCUGGAGUUUGACUUAUAUACUCCAAACAGAGAUGCAAACGGCAUCCCAGUACCAGUCAAGGGUUUGAGUGAAACCUGAUCACACAAGACUAACAAUUCAAGGCAUAGUCCAUUGUUCAGUUGUGGUCUGAUGUAGCUCAUUUCCUAGGUGGAAGUUCAACUUAACAGUCUCUACCAAAACACUGGUAUAUCAAACAGGUUCAACUUUGAGAACAUUUCUUAUGAGCCAUGAAAUUUGGUGGGGAUUAUUAGAAUAAAUGAGCUAGGCCAGAUUUUUCUAUUAAAUCUCAAGGGCCCAUAAUAAAUGUUAAGGAUAAUAAUACCACCCUGGGAAUUAAAAGAGGAGUACCUCAACUUAAAUAGGGAGUUAUUGGAGGCUCCCUGUUGACAGGUUGAGGUGGGGAUCGGAAAGCCACACGCGCGCGCGCGCCGAGCCGGGCCGAGGGCGUGGGCGUGGGCGAGGCAUGCGUUGCAUCUCUCUCUCUCCUUUUUUGCAACGGACCGGAAUUCAAUCCCGCGAGAUUGCCUCUGUAACGGAUAGCCGAUUCAAUGUGAUUGAUAGCGUCGUAACGUUACUGCAGCAACGGGCGGAUUCCUCUCCGGCGCUAUUAGGAAAUAGAGUACCCCGAUCAGAUCACAUCGCUUAGUUUCCAAAUCGCUGGUUCAGAUCUCAUCGCUUAGUUUCCAAAUCGCUGGUUCUUCCUCCUCGCGCUUGUGCUGCUUCGGUCUUCCCCAGUUUUGAUCGCUUGCACGCACGAGAGAUCGGAACGAGCAGGGCCUCCGGAACCACACCUUCGCCUGAGAUCUGCACCGGGUUGGUUUUUGGGGAGUGCUUCCGCACGACUGCUCCUCUUCCUCAGUUUGUCAUCCGUUCAUCUGCAUCACCAUGAUUGGAGCUGCCGCACCCGCACCUGGAGAUGGCGCACCCGAAGCUGGCGCACCGAUCGACAACACCAACGGAGGCAGUUCUGCCUCACAAUCCAGCAGAGGGACUUUCACAGGGUAUAACUUUCUACCAUGAUCUUUGUUGCUUCUGUUAGUCGCAAUACUAUUGCGUUCUCUCCAUAAUGAUGAUACUUAUUUUAUCCUAAGCAUGCUCCUGGUUAUGUUUAAUUUUAUCACUAGAUCACCUCAUAUUUUUUAUGCCAUAAUUAUUGUCUUAAUAUUUUGGAUUAAAAUAUGCCGAUAUAUGACUAUAUUUCCAACAGUUAAAGGACAAACAUGAACAUUCUAGACAGCUUAGUAGAACUUUUUUCCAGCCUUAAUGAAUACUUUGCCGCUUUCCUUGACCAACCUCUACCUGAUCAUUACACGCAUUAUUACAUUCGAGACACUCCUCUGCUCCUGAUUUGUUACUGGAUACUGGCAGUGCAGUGCACGACAUAUCAUUUUUCAGUUAGUUGUGAAUGCACUAACUUACAAUCCAUGAUCAAUAUAUCUAUCUGGAUGCAGCUGCUAUUUUGUAUUCUCUCUAUUUCCAUUUCAAAAUAUAUAUGACUCCGUAAACUUUUCACAUAAUGUUCGACUAUUCGUUUCAUAAAAAAUAUAUAAAUAUUAUUUAUUUUACUGUGAUUUGUUUUGUCAUUAAAGAAACUACAAUCUCAACUUAAAAUUUUACAUAUUUAUACCAAAUUUUUUAAUAAGACGAAAUAUCAAACCAUAUACGAAAAAUCAACAGCGCCUUAUAUUUUUGGAAUGAUGUGGUAUUUUUAUAUAGGGAGAAUAGCUACUUUAGUCCCUAAAGUUUGUCUGUAUGAUCAGUUUAGUCCCUAACCUUUUAAAUGGUCCAAAGAAAUCCUUAACCUUUGUCAUAAGGCCUAGAAUAGUCCUUGGGUCCACCAAAAUCAUCAUAUGAAUAUGCCAUGUCAUCAUUCAUUCAAAAUCUAUGAUGAGUUGUCCAAUUUACCCUUACAUAUAUCAUAGAAAAAUAAAUAUAAUGGUGAAUUAGACAUAACCAUAGGAAAAAAAUACUUCGGUAUAUUUUUGCUCUUACAUAUACCAUAUAUUUUUUAAAAAUUUUCCUUUUGUUUUUUAUUUUCCUAUGCGUAAGGGUAAAUUGGACAAAUCAUAUAGAUUUUGCAUAAGAAGGUGAUAUGGCAUGUCCAUGUGGCGAUUUUGGUGAGACCAAGGACUAUAUUAGCCUAGAUGACAAAUUUAAAGGACUUGUUUGAACAAUAUAAAAGAUUAAGGACUAAAAUGACCUAGGAGCGAAACUUUAGGGACCAUAUUAGCUAUUUUCCCUUUUAUAUACUUGUAUAGAACACCACAAACGUGAUGGCCUCCCAAGUUAAGAUAUACGGCCGUUUUUGGAAGCAGAACUGAUUAUCUCUAUGUUCUAAAAGUGGGGAAAAAACCGAAGAUGUGAUUCUUGGGUACUGUAAAAAACAACUGACUCGGUCAUUCAAGCCGGUUCGUUUGUUAAUAUUUGCACUACCCAACUUCUGUAGGGUAGAGAUGGAAGAGCACUAGUUUUGUUUGGCACUAAAUUUGUCUUUAAGCAGUGAAGAUGGAAAUGUAGACACUCACCUGUUCAUGAUAUGAUGAUGAUUAGCGUCAGUGAGAGUGUGGACGCAGGAAAUAUCGGGUGCGUUUGAUUCAAUGCCAUUCUCAAAACACAUCAAAGAAUUUGAUGAUGGAAGUACCCACAAAGCUCAUUUUGUCUGUUGCCAAAAUUGGCAUGUCAAUAUUUUGGCAAGGGUAGAACAAUUUUAGCAUAAAAUUCCUAAAUGUUUGGCUUGCGAAUAUUUGGGUAAGGUUGAGAAAUAUAGCUUCAAUCCAAACAAGCCCAUCAUUUUCCAGUUUUGGUGGCAUCCAGAACAGAUGGGCGGUGGCGUUACAUAUUAAUUAUGGGAGUACUUAUACAUCUUUCGAAAGAUUUUUAUGAUCGUAUCACAUAGAUUUUUAAUCUUUGGAUUAAAAUCCGAUAGAUAUAAUAAAAGGCAAAAAGCAAUUAAGAAACACCAUAAUGGACACUAAAUUACCAUAUCCUCAAGAAAAAGACCAAAUCCAAUACAAAAUUUAAAAUUUACAUGCGAAGAUUCAAAAAUUACAGUGUAACUAACAAAAGUUACAGUGUAAGUUUUAUAAAUUACACUGUAACUUAUAAGAAAAGGCACUGUAAAUUUGAGUGAGAAAAUCGAGUGAGAGAUAAGAAAAAAUCUUUCGAGUGAGAUAUAGCAAAAUCGAUUAAUUAUUAGUUGUGUAGGCCCAUUAUUCCAGUAACUUAUGCAGCACUAGUGUGCAUGGAAGACAAUUAAUCUGUGUGAUGGUUGAAGUAAUAAUAGAUGUUAAUCCACAACUUACAAGCAAGAGUCUUAAGUAGAAAGCAUGUUUAUAGGUAGGGUUGAAACUGGUUCGGAUAGUUUCCGUCCGUCCGGACCAUUUUUCGGAUUCGGAUAGUUUCGGUCGGAACUAUCCGGAAAUUCUCGGAUUUGGAAACGAAUUCGGAUUUUUUUUUCUCGGAAACGAAAACGAAUAUAGUAAGGGUACUAUCCGUCGGAAUCGGAAAACAGUCGGAAACUAUCUGGAAUUUUUUUCGGAUAUCCGCAGACAUUGAGCAAUUUUAGAAAAAAACACGUAUAUAUACACAACUUUUUCAUACAGAAUCAGAUGAAGAAAAACUUUAUAUCAACAUUGUAGAGCUUGAUGAGAUCUAAAACUUUCUUAUUGACUAUUUUAUUAUUUGGGGUCAUUUAAGGGUCUAAAUAUUCAUUAUAAUAUACCAUAUUAAUUUUUAUAAAAUUUCAGAUCUACAAUUCAAACGAUAUCUGAUGGAGAUAUGUUCCAUAUCAAAGUUGUAGAUGUGUUCCAUAUCAAAGUUGUAGAGCUCAACGGGAUCUACCCACUUUGUAGUUUAUAACAUUUGUAUUUAAAAGCAUUUAAAGUAUAAAACAAAUAUUACAAGUUUCGAAGAUGUGAAAUAAAAUAAAUAACAUCUCCAAUUUAUACAAUGGUAAGUAAUUAAGUUAUAUAUCUAGUAAAAGGUCUUUGGAAUAAAAAAAUGAUAAUCAUAUUUGCAUAUGGAUCUCUUAGAGGAACAACCAUAAAAAUCAAUUUUCAUAUAUGGUUGUGGGACCGUCUACAAAAUUGAUGAUAUAAAUGUUGGAGAUGUUGAACUAAAAUAAUAAGCGUUAUCUCUUCCUUGAUUAAGAAACUCAAUUUGAGGGGUUUUUUAUAUACCGGUAAAUAUUCGCUGCCGUAUUCGUUUCGUCUCGUAUUCGCUCCGUAUCUGUAUUCGAUAAUAUUCAAUUUCAUUUCUAUAUCCGAGUUUUCCAUUCCGAUUCCGAUUCCGAAAAAAAAAAUAUAAAAACGAAUAUGAUAAAGCUAGUUUCUGUCCGUUUCUGAUCCGUUUUCAUCCCUAUUUAUAGGUCCAGCUAUUUUGUACUUCCAUGGAAAUAGAUAAGCUGGAUCACGUAGGGUAGAUGAAACACUUUACUGAACACAGUACUGAAUUGAUGUGCAAUACAACAAGAUUACAGUCGUUGCUAAAGUUGUAAGAGUGCUAAGGUUAAAGUUGGUGUUCAACUCUUUAACCCGGUGGCCCCUGUAAUAUAGAGGAGGCAUCACACUGUACCCGUAGUAACGACAGUGAAUGGCAGGGUAAUCAUUGACAAAGGGAAUUCUUGAAAAGAUGAAGCUUGAUAAUUUUCAAGUAAUCUACUCAACAAAUUUUAUGUUAAUAUUUCUUGUUUAUAUAAACGAAUAUUGCCUGAUUCCAGUAGUGAUUUUUGCACACAGAUUUUCAUUCUGUUUCCAACUGAAGUGAUUGAUAGUUGCCGUCUUGUACUUUUCUAUGUUUAUACUGUUCAGUGUUAGAAAACUGACUAUAAUUUAUUGAUGGUUACUUUGUUUUACUUAAUAGCUUGGUAGCACUAAGGUUUUCCUAAGAGCUGGUCAAAUCACAAUUUUAAAUAUGCGUCAUGCUGAAGUUUUGGAGAACGCUGCACGCCACAUUCAAGGUCGUUUUAGAACAUUCAUUACACGCAAAGAAUUUGUUAAAACAAGGGAGGCUUCAAUUUCUAUACAAUCAUAUUGCAGAGGUAAAAUUUCUGUUGCUUUGUUAUAUUAAUUCCUCCAUGAAUUAUGGUAUAUUGUUGGUUUCAAUGCUAAAUUGCUGCUACAUUCUGGUUGCUAAUUUUAAUGACUUUUCAGGCUGUUUGGCAAGGAAGAUGUAUAUGGUUAAAAGAGAAAUGGCGGCUGCUAUAAUUGUUCAGAAGUAUGUCCGGAGAUGGCGGCUUCAUCGGACUUACCAGCAAGCUCAUUCAGCAGCUCUUCUUAUUCAAUCCUGUAUUCGAGGAUUUAUCGCUCGCCGUUAUUUCUCAGUUAUCAGAGAGCAGAGAGCUGCUUUGGUGAUACAGGUGUGUCCCUCCUCUUAAGUUUCAACUUGGUUAUCUGGAACAGUGCUAGGAUAGUAAAUAAAUACUUCCUCAGUUUUAUAUUAUAAGACUUUCUAGCAUUGCCCACAUAUAUGUCUAGAUUCAUUAUCAUAUAUAUAUAUAUAUAGGCAAUGCUAGAAAGUCCUAUAACCUGAAACAGAGGUAGUAAUAGGUAAGCUCUCUUUAGAAGUCAUACGCAUGUUCCUUAAUUUGUUGUUGGGCUCUUGGCUAAGGUAAGUAUAGACUAAGGUAAGGCAUACUAAUCCUACAAUGACGCGGUGGUUUAGUCUGAGUGUAGUUGUAGGUCUGGUAAUGUACGUGUGAUGUGAGUGGGGUGUGAGUGUGUGUUGUAGGUGUGUGUUCGUACAUUUGAACCCAAACCGUUCAUUUGAACACAGCCUUGUGCUUGUUUUAUGUUAUAGGCUGCAAAUGAAGCAGAUGCACUGCGUGAGGCGAAGAAUAAACUUGAGAAAAAGUUGGAUGAUCUUACUCUGAGACUAACUCUGGAAAGGAGACUGCGGGUAAGUGUUGUAUAUCACUUUUAGCUUUGUGCUCUAUUUGUUAAUUACUACUCCCCCGUUUCAGGUUGCAAAACGUUUUGACUUUGGUCAAAAUCAAACUACUUCAAAUUUGACUAAGUUUAUAUAGUAAUAUUUAUAAUACUAAAUUAGUUUCAUUAAAUUAACAAUUAAAUAUAUUUUCAUAAUAAAUUUAUGUUGAAUUGAAAAUAUUUUUUUUUUCUACAAACUUGGUCAAAUUUGAAGCAAUUUGACUUUGACUAAAGUCAAAACGUCUUAUAAUCUUAAACGGACGGAGUACCUCCCUCCCAAAAUAUAGCAACUUUUAGCUACAAAUUUGAACAUGCACUUGUUAUAUUCUAUGCUGGAGGGAGCUUAUUAAGACUUACUGUUGAGAGGAGACAUCUGGUUGGCCAUUAGAGACAGAAUUCNNNNNNNNNNNNNNNNNNNNNNNNNNNNNNNNNNNNNNNNNNNNNNNNNNNNNNNNNNNNNNNNNNNNNNNNNNNNNNNNNNNNNNNNNNNNNNNNNNNNNNNNNNNNNNNNNNNNNNNNNNNNNNNNNNNNNNNNNNNNNNNNNNNNNNNNNNNNNNNNNNNNNNNNNNNNNNNNNNNNNNNNNNNNNNNNNNNNNNNNNNNNNNNNNNNNNNNNNNNNNNNNNNNNNNNNNNNNNNNNNNNNNNNNNNNNNNNNNNNNNNNNNNNNNNNNNNNNNNNNNNNNNNNNNNNNNNNNNNNNNNNNNNNNNNNNNNNNNNNNNNNNNNNNNNNNNNNNNNNNNNNNNNNNNNNNNNNNNNNNNNNNNNNNNNNNNNNNNNNNNNNNNNNNNNNNNNNNNNNNNNNNNNNNNNNNNNNNNNNNNNNNNNNNNNNNNNNNNNNNNNNNNNNNNNNNNNNNNNNNNNNNNNNNNNNNNNNNNNNNNNNNNNNNNNNNNNNNNNNNNNNNNNNNNNNNNNNNNNNNNNNNNNNNNNNNNNNNNNNNNNNNNNNNNNNNNNNNNNNNNNNNNNNNNNNNNNNNNNNNNNNNNNNNNNNNNNNNNNNNNNNNNNNNNNNNNNNNNNNNNNNNNNNNNNNNNNNNNNNNNNNNNNNNNNNNNNNNNNNNNNNNNNNNNNNNNNNNNNNNNNNNNNNNNNNNNNNNNNNNNNNNNNNNNNNNNNNNNNNNNNNNNNNNNNNNNNNNNNNNNNNNNNNNNNNNNNNNNNNNNNNNNNNNNNNNNNNNNNNNNNNNNNNNNNNNNNNNNNNNNNNNNNNNNNNNNNNNNNNNNNNNNNNNNNNNNNNNNNNNNNNNNNNNNNNNNNNNNNNNNNNNNNNNNNNNNNNNNNNNNNNNNNNNNNNNNNNNNNNNNNNNNNNNNNNNNNNNNNNNNNNNNNNNNNNNNNNNNNNNNNNNNNNNNNNNNNNNNNNNNNNNNNNNNNNNNNNNNNNNNNNNNNNNNNNNNNNNNNNNAAGCUUCUUCGUUUCAUAGGUGCUAUUUGGCAAGGAGUUGGGUUGCGGAAACAAUUUCUUCAACCGAACCAACAAAUUGUUGAAACAACUGUCGGACCAACCGUUUCUGGCCUUCAAUCUCAUAAGUUUAAGCACUGUCCGCAACAAUAUGAAAUCCUUCUCGCAACCCUUUGCCUCAUCGUACAAAAGAUCAUUCGCUGCCUUUUAUAAUGCAUCGAAGUUCUCCAACCCACGAGCGGACCCAGCUACAACCUCAGGUUCAGCAUGGCGCAAAAUCUCUUCCGAAUCAAAAUUACCAUCAUUUACGCUGACAUUACCUUCAUCGACAUCAUCAACUGUACUGUGCUGACCAUUGUCGCCAACAUCAUCAUCAUCAACAGGUUCUUCUUCUUCUUCUUCUUCUUCUUCUUCUUCUUCUUCUUCUUCUUCUUCUUCUUCUUCUUCUUCUUCUACUACUACUACUACUACCAUGAAAUCCUCGUCCAAGUUGAACACUUCAUCCCAAACUGUCGCCUGGUUGGGAACUUGUUUGCUUGGGAUUUCUCCAUGAUGUGACCAAGUUGUGUAGCGAGCACCAAAUCCAUGCGUCACCAGGUGCUGCUCGAUUACAGAUGGAUUGAUCCAAAUUUUCUGAUUUUUGCAGUGCACGCAUGGACAUCUAAUUUCCUUCGUCUUCUUAGAUGCAGCAUUCUUCUUAGCAGCUUUCAUGAAUAUGUCAACUCCUUCAGUGUAUGACGCACGAUAUCUCUCUCUAUACAUCCAUGCUCUGUCCGCCAUCUGUGCAUUAAUUGCGAAAAAAUAAGUACAACUUAGUUAGUUUAAAUAUUUUUAAUAAUAUGUCACAUUAAAAUUCUGCUAAUUAAUAUAUAUAUAUAUAUAUAUAUAUAUAUAUAUAUAUAUAUAUAUAUAUAUAUAUAUAUAUGUAGAACAUCGUUCAUGCAUAAUAUUUCUUACAAAGUUUGUCCAUUUUGAGCUCCAAAUAACAAAUAAAAAAAUACUUUUCUUCCUCCGUGUCACGUACUUUUUGCCUUGCAAAUUCUCAACAUCCAACCAAUAAAAAUGAAGAAAAAAAACUUGACAAAUAGAGUAGGAGAAAGUAUAACUAGCCUAUGGUGCAAUAGAUCUUUCAAAAGAUUCGAGAUCAAAACCUCCCCACUAUGUAUGUGUUUAUAGGAGAGAGAAAAUCGUGCUCAAAUGGCGGCUGCUAGCUGAUAUAGGCGAUGGAAAUUUCCCUAGCGGUCAGCAUAUGUUGGUUGCGGUGCACCGCCAUAGAAAAUAAACUAGGGGUGGCGGCGGCUUAAGUGGACCGCUAGCGAAGAUGUAGGUAUUUUCGCUGGCAUGCCACGUCACCUAACCACCAGCGAAGAUUGGUGUUUUUGCUUGCGUCAAGUUAAGAGGACCGCCAGCGAAAAUUCCAUAUCUUUGCUGGCGGCCAGCUUAGGGCGGCCGCUAACGAAGAUAGGUUUUCGCUGGUGGCCCGUGACCCCUCAUCCCCCUUAUUUUUUGCGCUGGCUGUUUCUUCUCGUAGCCGCUAGCAAAAAUAUUUUCCAAACGUCAUGAAAAACCGUUUUUGUAGUAGUGAUUUUAUUUUCCUAUUUUUUUCCAUCAGAAAAAGUGUACGGGAGAAGAAGAACUCUAAGCAGCAACUGUCGCCUCGCUCUAACCAGAGCCCCCUCUCAGUUUGCCACUACUGCAGCCAUUGACAGCGCCCGAACCCGCCACGCGGGCGGGUCUUUCAUGGUUGCCUCCGCCGCCGGGGGAACCCGGCGGGAUAUGGUUUGGGAGAAGGGGGCGGGGCUAGUGUUUCGGCCAGGGGCGGAUUUACUGUGGGGUCUUGAGACCCCCCUGAAUUUUUUACAAUUUGGUCCUUUUUGAAAACUUAUUUCAUAAAUAGAUCCCUGAAAAAACUUAUCCCAGAAAUUAUUCUUUUUAGGCGCCAGAGUCGCUGGCGCCGUCGUCCAACGGGAUGGCGCCAACCUUUCUAGCGCUGCCCCUGCCACCGUGGCACACGCGAACUAACGUGGUAGGAGGAGGGUGCCAGCAUGGCUGGCGUCGCCCCCCAUCCCACCUCGCCUCCAAUCCUAUUUCUCUUUUAUUUUUAUUCUUUUGGAUAUUUUUUCACACAUAGGAUAUGUGGCCCGUAGAAUUUUCAAAUAGAUCCAUGAUUGAUAUUUUAUGUGAACACCUUUUUAUUUUAGUUUUUGGAUAUUUUUAUCACACUUAGGAGCAUGCAGUAACCAACCACAGAAAAUUUAAACUCGAACGGAUGAAAUAUGUUGCAGAAUUUUUCAAAAAAAAAGUAGAUUAGGAUUUGUGUUUUUUGGUUACAUUAAGUGUCAUUUCUUGAAACAGGCGUAACUUUCUAAUACGAACUCGGAAUCAGGCAAAUAAUAUAUCAAUAGACAUCUACAGAAAAAGUUUGGCGUAAUUAGAAUCUCCAAAUUCCGCUUGCAAGAUUGUGUUUUCGAGACGAGAAGCUUUUCGGUGGAGCUUUGAAAAAUUCAACAGGUCACAAAUUUCGAAUAUUUGAGUUUAAUUUUUCUGUGGUUGGUUCUUGUGUGCUUAUAAGCGUGAAAAAAUAUCAAAUAAAUAAAAUAAAAAUAAAAAAGUUACACUUCUCUCCUUUUGUUGACGAGAAAUUCGCGCUCGGCCAAUGGUGCCGGGUCUGUGUUGGCGCGGACUAAGUCGACAAACACAACGGCCGGGGGAUCUGCUUAGCUCCAGUGUAGGACCAAAGGUUGGUGAGAUGCGGGCGUGCCAGUCAGUUUGACCUUGCAACUGACAAAAUACACAAAUAGCAGAUUAAUGGGCCGAUCGGCUGACAAGCCGAUGGAGUAAUUCCGGCCGAUGCCUCCAAUGUAGAAUGUGGCACUUGAUAUACCCUCCGUUUCGUUUUAUUUGACGCUACAAUUCAUUUCAAAAAGGAGUCUAAAUGUUUGACGUCGUAUACACUGGUCGAAACCGUUCCUCGCCUUCGCCUUCUUCCCGCUGGUGCAGGAGAUCGCCGGGCUUCGCCGGAAGAAGCCCGUCAAGCCCAAGCCCAAGGAUUGCGGCCGCUUCGUCAGGUUCUACCAGUCCCUGGAGACUGGACGAGAGGUGAAAGCUCCAUUGCCACAAGUCUCCUCCUUUCUUUUUUCUUUCUUCAGCUGGAUGUAUUCAGGAGAACAGCAGUGGUGAAGCAACAACCUCGAGAAAUUCAGAAAUCAACCAACACAUUGAGUAUGACUUGGUGUUCGCUAGGCAGCUGCAAGCAAUGGAUAAUCUGACAAUUGAGACACCUGCAGAUGAAGAUGAUGGUAUGCAUUGAUUCUCGUUCAAUUUUGUGAGCACUUGAUGUGCGUAGUGAUUUUUUCUGUCGUGGUAAUCUUAAUAUUUUUCACCUCUGAAUUUUUUUUUCUGUGUUGGUGAUGAUUCAGAUAUAAGCUGCGUACCCUCUCCAUCUGACUCUGAAACUGAUGAACCAGCAGAAGGCAACAACGAAGAGGUGAUUAUAUGAGCUGUUUCAGAAUUGUAAUUAUUCAACAUUGUUCGUUUCAAACUUCUUGAUGCAAAGAUACACAAUUCUCUUGCGUAUUCACUAAAAAGAAGAUGCAGAAGAUAAUCCAAGCAUGUAACUGAUGACACUCUGAUCAAAAUCUUCAUCACGGCAUGUAACUGAUGAUUUCCUCCUCUUUUUUCCCCCCAAAACUGCAGCUGUCCUAUAUGUAUAUCCGCUUUCAUAUGCAUACUGCCAUCAGAGAUGCACACAAAGCUUGUAAAGUUGCUGCUGCCAUCCCAGCUAUUCUUUCUUGUAAAUUGAGAUAGCUAGUCUGUAAACAGAGUAUUCAGACUUUAGAUACUCCUUUCUGUAUCUGCCAGCUGAAACAAAAACUAUGUCCUUUCUGUAUCAGUUUGAGGGAAUACAAUACGUUGAUCUGUUUUUUUUUAGAAAAUGUUCUGAAUAGCAAUGAGAUUUUCAAGGUGGCAAUCACCGGACAAAUGCGCUGUUCAUCAGCAAUGUUACAGGAAUACCAGCCUGCACACACAGUGCUAGUUUCAAGAGUUUGCAGCAGCUAGCAGCAGCACCACCACAAGCACUAGCAAACACCAGCAAGGGAUUAGCCUCUUUUACUCCAUUCCUAAAUAUGAAGUAUACUCACAAAUACACCAGCAAGGGAGUACAUGCUAGUGCUUAUCAUAAAACAUCUGAAUUAACCUUAUUAGAAAUGAGGAACUGCCAUUCCUCAAAAUUUAAUUAUGAAAUACUCCUCGAAUAAAAACCUGUUAGAAGUGAACCAAAAUCAAACCAGGGAGUACUUGCAUUACACACAAGGUGUGACUUCAAUUUUAUAACCAGUAACUUAAACACUUCGAUCUACAUGUCACUGGGAAUAAACAAAAAACUGAAACAAGUGCUUCUCUGAACUUAUGAACAGUUAGACAUUCAGACAUUCAGAAUAUUCAGAUAUCACAACAAUGACAAUUAUUGCAGAUCAUAUUUCUAGCAAGAGCAACAUUGUAGAUUGUCAAAAAAUCUAGCAAGGCUGCCAAAAAGUCUCCAGGUCAAAAAAUCUAGCAGAUUGCCAACAUCAACAACUAGAUACACCAAUCAGCCACAUCAGCUACAACAGCAACAUCAACCUCAGAUCAACACCACCAGCAGCAAUUUCAGGUAUCUGCCAUUGUCCUGAAAGGGAGUAAUAUAAAUGCCAUUGUACAUGAUGAUCAGAUUCCAAACUCAGUAAUGGGUAUUACCUCAGAGAAAGUCUAGCACCAUGUACUAAUUCAUAUCAGGUAUCUGCCAUGGUCCUGAAAAGGAGUAAAAUGAAUGCCACUAAUUAGCACACAUCAAACAAGUUAGGCUAUGAGUAUUUGACUUGAAAGCACAUGAAGCGAUUUUCAUGAAAAUAAAAUAUAUAUAACCAAAAUAGUUUACCUGAGAUAAUUGUUAGCAUCAUUUAUUGACUUUUCAUCGCACCUUAGUUGCAAAGGAAGGCGACCUUGCCUUUCAAGCACUCCUUUUUUGAUGUGUGGAAGAUCAUAGGAGUUGUCACUGAGUACUUCUAUGACUUCCCUCAUGCAUGCAUGAAGAGACAAGAAAUCAUGUUUGAUAGCCUCACUGGAUAAUCUUCAAAUGCUCGAUCGAUGGCGGCUACAAGUUCUUCUGUUGUUGUUGAGGCUGAUUUGUACUGGAUGGACUGAAUGGAGUUGAAGAAACCCAGAUCCAAGACAUUCAAAUCUGGGGAAUUUGCCGGCUGGCAAACAAGUUUGAUGUUAAAGCCGUCUUGCUUCGCAGCCUCACAAAACAUUCUGUCGUCCGGUGCAAUAUGAGGCCGAGCAUUAUCCUGCUGGAUGUAUAUAGGUUUGCCGGCGUCUUCACGAGGCCACUUAGCCCGAACAGCUGGCAAUACCUUUUCUAUCUUGAAGCUUCGGAUUACCUCCUUUGUGAUUGACUCAAUGGGCUUCAUCUCGAUUGUCCCUGCAGGAUGGUUCACACUUGACCUCUUCGCAGCUGUGUAUGUCACAAAAGGGAAACAUCCUAUUUUUCCAUCAAAGAUGCAGUUUCCAUUUGAGUCAAACCUUGGUCUGGCGAGAGCUGUUAAGAUCAUUAUUUUCGGGAUGAAGUUUUUGUUCUGAAUUAUCCUGAUGCGUCGCGAGGCAGUUGGAGCUGCGUAAUAUUGCACCGUCUUCCUUGUAAUGUUGAACCACUUCUCAUAUAUGAAAAUGUAAUCAAAUAGUGGUUUGAAGACAGGAUUGUGAGGCACACUCCUUGGGUCAAGCAUUUCAAUACACCACUUUAGCCGGUCAAUUUUGUUUUGAUCUGUCAAGUGGGGAUCAAAUGAGCUAGAUACAUGAUUUAUAGCACCUUAUUUUUUCAUUCUGUAGACCUUGCUUGUGCUAACACCAAAUUGAGUAGCUACAUCCUGUAUUGUGGUACGGCUCAAUAUUGAAAUAUCUUCGAGACGGGACACAUCCACCACCUUCUUCUUUCUGCCACACCUAGAUCUUCCACUCGCAACGUCAACUGGAAUACCUUGAUCCAAAUAGCUUUUGCCUUUUUUCCAUAUACGUUGUACUGUCCUGAUAGGCACCGAGAAUUCAGCUGAAACCUCCUUUCUCUCAUGGCCCUUCAAAUAUCCUUUUUUUUGCCUUUACAAGCAUAGCAUCAAAGAUUGCUCUCCGUUUCUCAUUAUCAGGCACGACAUUCCUGUGUGUAUUCUCCUGAGGAACUGGGAUAGCAUCAUCAACCAUCAGAAUCGAAGAAAGGAUCAAACUGAGGCUGUACAUUCUCCUAGCCAGGGUCAACACCUAUCUCCUCUAGAGUGACUGGGACUUCAGCAACAUUUGAAUCAAAAAAAGGAUCAAACCAAGGUUGUACAUUCUCUUGGCCGGGCAAGGGGACUUCCUCUUCUUGCCUCUUUGCUCUCCUCGAAUAUUAGACCCGCCUUGUGCAACCCUGCAGGAGCAUCAUUAAUUUUCAGUAACUUCUAACAUACAUAGUGGAAAAAACCGGAGCAUCAUUAAUUUUCAGUAACUUCUAACAUACAUAGUGGAAAAAACCGAACCGGACCGGUGGUUCGACGGGAAAAAACCAGAACCAGAGGUCUCCACGAUUCGGUUCAACUGAAAGACCGGACAUGCCCUCGACUCGGAUUGAACCGGCUGAACCAGGCGGGUUUAGACUAAACCGGCCAUUAAACCGGCUCGGUUGGACCGGACCAAGCAAAUAAAUGGGCCAACAUUAAGGCCCAGCACAUUGCCUUCAGGCCCACGCAUGUUUUGUGGGCUUUUUUUAAGAUAAAAUGUAUAGAAAAAGGGUGUGGGAUGGAGAUUCGAACCUAGGUCUGCGCAUUGAGAGCGUGUUGCGCUAGCCAUCCCAACCUUUGCUUUGUUAUGUUUUAGAGAAAAUACAUGUUGGAUAUAUUUCUAUUGAACCGUGGUUCAACUGGCGGUCCACCGAUCAGACCGUCGGACCGGUGAACCGAGGGGUCAUCCGGGUCACUCACCGGUCCCGUUUCUUGCACUAUGCUAACAUGUCUAUAUAAGAAAUGCAAGGAGUAAAUGGAAUGCAUUUUUUUAUUGCUGGAAAUGACACAAUCAACUCCAACAGCAUUGAACAAGUAGAUUCUCUGAACUGAAAAUAAUAGAGGAGAAAAAGCUAAAUGCUAAAUGCUCAAUUAUCAGCUGUGCAUUCUCUAGUAUUUGCCAUCAGCUCAAUUAUCAGCAAUGAGCCCACAUGAGCUUUCAUUGAGCUUGCUUCAAUCAUGUGAAUUUUGACAUUAAAGAAAACAAAACUGGGAGAAACUAUUUUGCAUGGACACGAGUGUUACAGCAUUUAUGCUUUCAUAAAAAAAGAAGUUGCUUUUAGGUUGGAAAAUGAAGACAAUAUGUGAUUAAGUUGCUCGGAAUGCAGAGUAAAUCUGAAGUCUAAACUCUGAAAUUUGAAUUGUUGUACUUUCUGUUCUCAAAAUUACUGGCAGCUAUUCUCAAAAAAAAAAAAUACUGACAGCUAAAAUUCUGUUCCCACUCUGAAAAUGCUGACACAGAAGGCAUAGUAUCAAGUAUGCAAGCAAUUAUUUAGAGAAGAGAAUGAUCAAAAGUUGAAGUGCUCUUGCUAAUUUCAGUUUCCUAUUUGCAUCAAUUUCUGGUUAAUACCUAGAACAAUUUCCUGUAGGCAAUUUCAGUACCAUAACAUAAGUUCAUAGUAAACUGAAGUUAAAAGCAAAUAAUCAUAGUUUAAGGACAUAAAUCUGGUAACAAUUAGUCUAUCAAAUCCCUUCUCAUAGCAAAACUGCAUCUGUAUUGCCUACAGUUCAGACUGGAUACUGUUUUGCUGCCAAUUCAAAGCACUCACAUGUCCCCCCAAAAAAAAUCACAAACUUAAAACAUAGAUUUUGACACAUAACUAGAGCAAUUCCAUUUGAAGGAAGGCGAUGUUUAGUUGCAAAAACUUCCAACUUUUCCAUCACAUCGUUCCAAUUUCAACCAAACUUCUUGGCGUGAACUAAACACACCCGAAAUGAAGAACAGAAAUACAAAACUAGAAGCAAACAAUAUUCUUAAAUAGCCAAACUGAACAUAAUGGCCUAAUUAUUCAAGGGCCUAAUUAUUCAAGGGCAAGCAACCUUGGGGAGAGAGUAGCCGAAGACGAAGCCACGCCGGCUCGCGCGGCCAUGGCGGCCAGACGAUGGAGGCGGUCCUGUACACGGCUGUGGCUACGACUGCCAUCGCUAGCUUGCUGCGUGUCUGCCUCUGCCACCUGAGGAUGAGGCUGUUGGGGGAACGGCACUGUGACAUCGGCCAAUGAUCCACCGCCGUCCUGCGCCGUCUUCUUCCAUGGCGUGAGAAAUUUCCGCCACCUACCCACCCCGCCAUCCAUGGUCGCAGCUUGUCGUGGCAGUGGGCUUAGGCAACGACUUCAGGAGCGGGAGCAGUGGCGCAGGAGAAUGAACUCUCCCACCCGGGGAAUCUCUGCAUCUUGGACCAGAUGUUGAUGACCCUCAGCCCGCAAAUCAUUACUCCAACUAACACCCUUUUGGCUGCAAAGUGAUUAUUCAAGCGUCAUCAGCCAUGUAGUCUAGCUCAACAAAAUGGAAAGAGAUUGAGAGAGAUUGAGCAGAUGUUUUAGAUCCAACAUACUCCUACGGUAGAUGCUUGGUGGCUAACUUCACCACAAAUUUGAAAAAAUAUAUUCAUGUACAGGUUCAUAAUGGCUACACCUACGGUACGCUACAACAUGGUAAAAAAGGAACGAUUUUGGUCAAGAAAACGUAAGGACCUAGUUGGGCACAUACUGAAUCAUCAAUCUGUUAUCAAGAACAAGCAGGGCGAGCUUGCCUUGUUCUGCAGAACCUCAGCUUCCCAGACGAUGAACUUGGCGAGGGACCGCCACCUCGACGCAGGCGCCGGCGUACACGCCGGCAGACUCGUUCGUCUUCUCCGGCAAGCCGGAGCAGUCGCCACCGUACUGGUAACUGCACGCGCGAGGCUGUUGGGAUACUCGUAGGCUACGAUAGCAUAAAUCAAAAUUUUCUAUCACGUAAAUCAGGAACCAUGCAAGUAUUAGAUCAUAGAUCGUUAUCACUCGACGCGCUGCGCAGCGGAAGAAGACGUUGAGAAGUUGAAGGAACUCUCGUGAAGUAGCGCGCGUCGAUGUAGAGGAAGUAGUCGAUCGCACCGGCUCGACCUUCUCCUCCUCGUGCGUUCUCCUCGUCGUACUCCCCAGGGCGGAGCUAGAACAGAACCGAGGGGGUACACCACUAUACAAAACUAUAACAUGUAGGGACACAUUUGACUCAUUAAUGUUAUUUUACCGUAUAUAGGUGGAAUUACUUCACCUAAAUACCUAAGAGCACCCGCAAUGGUAAAGUAAGGUGCUAUCUAUAAAACAUAUACAUCUCAGCAAUAGACUCGAUUAAUAGUAAACCACCUUAAUAGUAUGUCUACAUUGGUAUCUAUAACUCUGUCAUGCAUUGCCUCGUUUUUCUCUAUAAACUAUUUGUAAGUUAGUAGAUAGUUUUGCUCUCUCUCUUCAUUUAAUACCUUCCAAGUAGGAAAAUAUGCUGACAUGGAUAUCUUGUAGAGAGCCUAUAGAUAAUUAUUGUGUGUGCCCUAAUGGUAUUUUUAACGUAUAUAGCUAAACAUUACUCUAAUUAAUGGUAUUUUUAGCAUAGCAGCACAUUGCUCUAAUUAAUGGUAUUCUUACACAGCUUUUGACAAAAAAUAAUUAAUAUUUGAGAAGAGAGCACAAAAUUCUUAUAAAAAAUCAAGAGCAAGGGCCGUGAAGGAAAACAACAAGAAUACUUACUAUUUUGCUACGGCAGGCUGGUUCGUAAUCUUACUCCAAUUAUAAAAAAUUCCUAAUUUUGAUGUUGAAUUGGCCGAACCCUAACCUAUAAUCAGGAUAAACUAAAAGCACAAUCAGCAAUCACACUAUCUUUUUUAUUUUAGAAAUUAGUUUGGAACAAAUCUGGAAAACUGGAUUAGAAGAAGAGUAGAAAGGCCGAUACUUACUUUUCCUCGUUAACCGGAGACCGUGGCCUUGGAUCAACACCAGAUCGUGUUACUCUAGCCAUAAGAGGGCAGCAAUGGAUGAUGAUUAGAGCUGUUGAUGUCAAGGCUGUGACGGCGAGCGGCAAGCAGCGAGUCAGCGGUCAGGAGGCGACUGACGCGAGCGAUUCCAGCGGCAGCAGCUGAAGCGGAAAAAGGAAAAGAAGAAAGAAAUAAAGGAGAGAUGGGCGAGUGUGGGCCGCGUAGCAAUAAUCGCGCAGGGAUGGAGGAAUCGAGGCGUCCCACCGCUGCGGACGAGGCAAUGACUACGCGCUUUGACGCUCGAGAGCAACGAUCUGCGCCGGCAUGCACGCGCCUUAACCCACGCUGGGCUUUUUUUUUCUAGUAGGGGGUACACUGACUUGGGCCAUGGGGGGUUCCUAUACAGUGAAAACAUGGGGUUAAGCAGUAAAAAUGCAAAUUGGGCCGGGUGCCUCGGAACCCCCUUAGUCCAUUGGGCUCCGUCCCUGGUACUCCCACGCCGAUCAGCACCGCAAACCAGCGGCGCCUCUACCGGUAUCCACACGUAUAGGGACGGAACGCCACGCACAGAUGUGCUAGCACCCACGCGCGGCUAGGUUUUGCUCGGGGAGGGAAGUGACGGCUAGGGUUUCUCACGUGAUGCAAUGCCUCCGCCGGUCACACCCCUCACGAAUAUAUAGGAUCCAUUACUCGGGCCUCCAAGGCCCGUAGGACUCCUAUUCGGAUCCCUAUCCGAAUUAAGCCCAUAUUGGAUCUCCAUCCAAUCCCCUUAUUUCGGCCCAUUAAGCGUGCGACCAUGUAGGUUCAUAUAUAUACUCGGCUGUAACCCGAAAACUCCUUUUCGGUCCACGCGUCAACAGCGGCCCCUGGCAGAACGUAUUGACCCACUGGGCAGACAUAAAGAUCAUAUCGGCUGAACCUCUAGUGUAUACUUGUAUGAACCCCUUUGCCUCACGAUAUCGAUUAAGCUCAAGGUUAGAUAUGUACCAUCCUUUAAUAGCUCAAUCAUUCACUCGAACCUGUCGAUAGAUUAUAUAACUUGUGAUUGACUCCUCAAUCACCUUUGGCAUGGCCAUGCACUUCCAUAAUCUACAACAUCGAGGGGCCUAGAGAUAUCUCUCCAUAGGAGGGGCAAAUCCCAUCUUGAUUAUUUAUAUCCCACUACAUGUUUCAUAGCAUACCCGAAAACUACUUUUAUAACUACCCAAUCACGGAGUAGCGUUUAGCAGUCUCUAAGUAAGCUACUACACAUGUUGGGAACCAUGAUAAUCUCAGGUCUAAGGAUUCAACACCAACACUAAAUGAGAUCACUGAUGACACAACGCAUAUGGCUCUUGCAGUGUCUCAUGUUGGGUCUAUCCAACAACAUGUUCACCAACAUGUGUCCACAUUAUUAAUUUGGUAUCUCUAUACCAUGAUCCAUGAAACAUAAUCAUCAAUUAAUACAUGUGCUGAUCAUCUAAACAUAUUUGUUCCACAUAUGAUAUUUGAUCAGGGAUCCUUUAGAAAUAGCAACACACAACAUAAAGAGUCUCAUGAAAGAAUCACAUAUUCAUUAACCAAUAAUGAGUUUAUCUAUUUCGAGGAACAAAGUCGGAUAAAUAUGUAAACAUAGUGUGUGAUACAAUCAUCUCUAUGAUUGCCUCUAGGGCAUAUCACUAACAGAGGCGGCGGCGGCGGCGCGCCAUUGGUGAUCAAUUCUUACAUUGUGUUCAACGAUUGAGAAAGCCAAUCAAAUUAAUGCAAGAUGAGUAGUUCCAUGUUUUACCGAACACGGGCAACGUCGUGGACGGGCGGCAGGGUGAUGAGGAUGAUGAUGACGGAGGGCCAGGUGGCGGUGAGGAGGCCGCAGAUGGCGCGGAGGUUGUCCUUGUACUCCGGGAGCAGGACGUGCUGGAGUGUGCUGGCGCGUUCGGGGAGGGAGGCGUCGUUGGCGCUGUCGUGCUGGAGUGGUCGGCCGCCGGGGACGAGGUGCAGGGGAGGCCGGCGAUGGGGAUCCGUCAAGGGAGAAGAUUGGGAAGGGGAAGCCAUGGCAGGGGAGGUGGGGAAGAGUGCCGCCGUCCCCGCCGUUGGCCCUGCCGCGGCGCUCGGGAUCGAGAUGGAGCGCCGCCGCCGUCAUGCGUAGAAGGGGAACGAAUCGGGGAAGAGGAAGGGCAAAAUGGCAAAUUCACGUGAACCUUAAUUUCGCCGAUGCUGUCGGAAACGACAAAUAAAACGAAACGGAGGGAAUAAAGACAAUCGGCUAAUAAUGAUGUAAUAAAAUAUAUAACAAUAUAAUCCAGUAGAAACCAAUCGGCUAGCAAUAAUAUGAUAGAAUAAGCACUGAUCCGAAGGUUAAAACAUACAUCGGCUGGAGGUCCGAUGUCAUAAAAUUCACAAUAUUAGAUUAAACAGUGAAACCUCUGUCGAUAUCGGCUAAAUCCAAUCUAUAUGCAAUCUUUGUAAGCCGAUGCAACGUCCAGAUAACUCAUCGGCUGAAACCCCGAUGAAACCCUUAUUGUAAUAAAAAACAGACUAGAGAUUAUGACUCUUAAGCACGACUAAAGUCGAUGCAACUUAGAGUAUGCAAAGAAACAUAAUAUCUAGACAAUCAAGCCUUUGACUAAUUUUUAGGGUGGUGGAUACCUUAGCUAAUCUAAUAUAGUAAAGCGAUUUAGCCGGUACCGGCAUUAACCCUAAAGGGAAUAACAGCCGAUACAAGUAAAUCAAGAUACUAAGACUAGAUUAACUAAGAAAUAUGAUAGAUUAGACGCUUACACUAACAAGAUCAGAGUGUCGAAGCCCUAGCCCCGCUGAUGCAAGGCGCCAUGAUAGGAAUAAACUCGUCGAAAAAGAAGAAAAGGUAAAAGGUGGCGAUGUGCCGAAUUGUAUUGAUCGUGGAGAUAGUUUACAAUAACCCCGGGUGUACAUAUUUAUACCCAUGGGUAAAUACUAGUCUUUGUAGGAUAAGAAAGAAACUUUCCUAAAGGAUAAAAGGAAAACAUAAAGUCCUUAUAUGACACUAAACACACUUUCCUACUAACAAACUAUUCCUAAUUAAUAGAUAACUUGCCACACCGUAUUUUCCUUGAACUCGGUCUCUUCUGGAUAAGCUUCCUUGAAUAGAUUAAUUUCCUUAACCGAAUAUAGCAGGAAUCCGACUACUGGUGACUUGACGACUCCCAUCGGCCGAUCCUAAAACUCUUAGGCCGAUAUUGAUUUUAAGCCAAUGAUGAUCUCGAGGCUUACCAAAUUUCGCUGUUAACACCUUUACACUCGAGGGGGAGAGAAAAUAAAGUUACACAUCUCUCCUAUUUAUGAGCAUUUUGGUGUGAAUUAUUGUUUCUUUUAUAUUAGAGAUUUGUUAACACAAGAUCUUAUAAGUGUAAAAAAAAUAUAAAAAAAAGGUUGUCCCUCCACAGAGAGAAAUACGAUUGGAGGUGAGGCGAGGUGUGGGGGAGGAGGUGGCGCCAACCAUGUUGGCGCCCUCCUCCUGCCACGUCGGUUCGUGUGUGCCACGGUGGCAAGGGCGCGGCACCAGAGAGACUAGUGCCAUCCCGUUGGACGACGACGCCAGUGACUCUAGCGCCUAAAAAGGACUAUUUUUGGGAUACAUUUUUUCAGGGAACUAUUUAUGAAAUAAGUUUUUAAAAAUAAACAAAUUGUAAAAAAUCCAAGAAACCCCGCCAUUUCUGGGACCAUGGGACCCCCUAAUCCCCCACUGAAUAUUUCUUCCAUGGAUACACUGGAUAUGGAUGGGGUCUGAGAUCGGCUGGAGAUGGAAUAAGUGACCCUCAAAGUGAUCGAAAUCUAAUCCGUGACCCUAAACCACAAAACCGGAUAUCUCAACCCCCAAACUCUUAAAACCGGUGCAAUUUGACUCCCUCGGCGGUUUUGGAGGGCGGUUUCGCUGACGUGGCGCCUACGUGGCGAUAUUAACCAAGUCUUCCUUACAUGUGGCACUUACGUGGCAUUAGAAUUGAAAAAUAUGUGUGGGACCCAUUAGUCAUUCACAUAAAAAGAAAUAUGGGGCCCACGUGUCAGUCCUCCUUCCUUCUUCCUCCCUCUCUCCUCUCUCUCUCUCCCCUUCUUCCCUUCGGCCGGUGGCGCGCGGCGGAAGCGAGCGGCGGGCGGCGAGAGCGGGCGGCGGCGGCGCGCAAGUGAGGCCCAGAGCGGUAUGGCGGGGAGUCGGCGCAGUCCGACGCGGCGGCGGCGGCGAAGCCUUCGGGCCCCUCCAAGCCCGUGCCGUCGUACGGGAAGCGUGGCGGGUUCGUGCCGCGGUGGCCGGAGGACUUCGGUGACGGCAGGGCCUUUCCGGAGAUCCACGUCGCGCAGUGCCCGCUCGGCAUGGGCCGACGCGACGAGAAGAGCGGCUCGAAGAUCCUCGCACUCACCGUCAACGCCAAGGGCAGCGUCGCCUUCGACGCCGUCGUGAAGCAGGGUGAGAACGCUCCCGGAGCCCGGAGCUUGGCGCACUUGACGACGACGAAGAUGCCGUCGGGGAGGACGCCCCUGUAGACGGCGCCGAAGUCGCCCUGGCCGAUCUUGAGCGCCGGCGAGAAGUUGUUGGUGGUGUGCAGGAUCUCCUCCAUGGAGAACACCGAGCUCUGGAACUGCGUCGCGCUGCCCCUGCCCCUGCUGCUGUUGUACAGCCCGCACAUUGACGCCUUCCCCUGAUCACUGCCAGGCCCCGGCACUGGAAUCAUCAAACAGAUUCAUCCAUCAAUAAUUAAUUCCCAACUGCUUAGUUGUUGUUCUGAAUUUUGAGAAAAAAAAUUGAACCCUUUUGUGAUUAAGAUUUUAGAAAAUGAUUCUUUAAGCUCCGCACUAGCAAUUCUGCCCCCAGAAAGUAAAGAAUUCAGAGUAGUUGCGGCAAUUGGAUUAUGAUAAUUGACUGCUUCCAAUUCAGAGACAGAGUAGUUGCAGCAACUGGACUGUGAUAAUUGACUGAUUUCUUGAACAGUUCAGAAACAGUUGCAGCAAUUGGACAAAUAAUUCAGAUUAUAUCCUGUUUGCUUGAGCAAUUCAAAUCUAGGUAAUUAAGGACAAGGAUGAAAUAGCUGGAGAAGAAAUGACCGAGGCGAUGGAUCGAGAGAACAAUUUACAUGGCGGCUUCUUGAUCAACUCAUUGGGUUCUUUCCUGCUCCUCCUCUUAGCGUUGCUGCCGGAGGCGGAGGUGGCCGACGACGACGACGACGAGGAGGAGGUCGAGAGCGAGCUGAACCACAACCCGAUCCACGUCGCGCAGUACGCGCCCGGCAUGGGCCGGCAAGACGAGAAGGGCGGCUCGAAGAUCCUCGCGCUCACCGUCGACACCAAGGGAAGCGUCGCCUUCGACGCCGUCGUGAAGCAGGAUGAGAAUGCCCCCGGAGCUCUCGCUCGGCCUCCUUGCGCUCCGCCGUGGCGUGCCGCUCCCCGAGACGGUGGCGUUCUUCCACCACGUCCUCCCGUUGCUCCCCUCACCUGCGCCCCGCCGCCACCCGCUCGCCCGUCCAGCCAUCGCCGCUCCGGGCCUAACUUGCGCGCCGCCGCCGCCUGCCGCCGGCCGAAGCUAGGCCGAAGGGAAGAAGGGGGGAGAAAGAGAGAUGGGAGAGAGGGAGGAGGGCCCCAUAUGUCGGUGGCCCCACAUUUUUUUUGAAUGACUAAUGGGUCCCACAUAUAUUUUUCAAUUGUAAUGCCACGUAGGUGCCACGUUAACGCCACGUGUAAUGAAGACUCGGUCAAUAUCGCCACGUAGGCGGCCACGUCCGUGAAACCGCCCUCCAAAACUACCGAGGGAGUUAAAUUGUACCAGUUUUAAGAGUUUGGGGGUCGAGAUAUCCGGUUUCGUGGUUUAGGGUUACGGAUUAAAUUUAGAUCGGUUUUGAGGGUCACGAAGUGAACUUAUUCCGCUGGAGAUUGAAGACCAAGUUUUCACGACUUGGGCCGACUAUGAAGAGAAGCCCACGAGUUCAAUCUUCCAAAUUUGGCCUGGCCCACUUCCCCAACCUGCAGCUCAAGCCGGCCCACAGCCCACUCGGCCAAUUCCCCAAUUCUCCACCAUUCCCUCUCCAUGUCCCUGAAAUCCCUAACCCUAGGCGUUCGACCGGCCGUGGACGCGGGGCCGACGGCCGACGGGAGGCGGCCGUGGACCGCCAAGGACGCAAGGUGGCGAGGCGGCCAACGCCCGGCGGCGACACCGGCUGACGAGGGCAGGAGCCAGGAGGCGGCGUGGCCCGUGGCCCCGUGGGCGUGCGGCGAGCGGCAAGCAGGCGGGACUCGGGAGUCGGCGGCGGCCGGCGAGCCACGAGCGGGCGAGGGCCCCGGAGGGUGGGAAGGGAGGCGGUCAGGCGGCGGUCGAGCGCCGGCGCGCCGCCGGGGAGGUGGCGAGACGCGAGCCGUGCCAGGGCGCCAGGCGGCGGUCCAGCGCUGCCGCGCCG
rnacentral:lncRNA from 1 species